rnacentral:lncRNA from 1 species
AGACAAAUCGAGUCCCUUAUUUUAUUAUUCAUAUCCAUAAAAAGUAACCACUAUGCUAGUCCCCCGAACUUAGCAUAAGACGGUAAUUUAAAAAAAGAAAAAAAAAAGAACGUUUCUAGACACCAAAACGAAAGCAAAACAAACACAAAGCGAGACAUACAAACAAAUUUUAUGCUACUGCAUUCAAGCAGAAGCCAUCAACUGUUCACGACGAAGUUUGAGAGCAACCAAUAGUUCAUCCCGAUUAGGAAGAUUUUCUUCAAUCACAGGGACUUGCUUGAAAGUUUCAAUCCAGGCAUGCAAGUGAGGGAAUUUGUGUGAUUCAAAUAGUUUAGCGCCCACUAUAUCUUCAAUGACUUGCAACCAAUAAACAAUUGAACCAAACGCUAGGUCCACUAAGCCAAUAUUGUCUCCAUUGAAAAAUUUCUUCUCUCCCAAGCCAUGCUCUUCAACUGUUUGUAGCAUUUCCAAGGCUUCCUUCAUUGUGUUUUGUAGUUCUUGUCCAGUGCUACGAAACAUUUUCCAAACAGCAACACCCUGCCACAAAUAUUUUACAUCUGAUUUUAUCACCGACAUGAUUAAUUAAUAAUAUGUAUAUAAAAGUAAAAAAUCGUUGGACGAUAUGUACACGUGUCACAAUAUCCUUUAAUUAGAGGUUUAAUAAGUUAAUUAAGAGAGUUCAACCACUGAGUUGUAAAAUCCUUUAAUUCACUUUCUCUCAAUGCUUCAAAAAUCAUCAAAAUUCCCCGUGAAGUUAAAAACGGUUGUGUUAACUUUAACUUAUUACAUCUUUUCAUAUUGAAGGAUAAAACAGUGAAGACACCAGAAAUUGAAAGUUUAGAGAACUUUUUACAAAUAAAUAUGAAGGAGACCCCUGGGUGGCUGGGCUCGACUGGCUAUGAAUUCACUUCCGCCAUCACCCGAGUUUGAGUAUAUAUGGAGAGUAAGAGUUAGUGUUUGGUGGGUGGAUUUCGUUAUCCUCGUCACCUCAUCUAGAUCUUAAAGUAAAUAAAUAAAUAAACACAUUUGAAAAGAAUGAACUUAAUCAUAAACGUGUUUGCCAGAGUUGUGAGCGAACCUUGUCUUCGGCGAAUUUAAUCCAGAAUCGAGCAAGAGCUCUAUCAUAAGGAUUAUUUGGCAUCAAGGGAUUCUGUGGCCACGUCUCUUCGAUGUAUUCGAGAAUAACCAUGGACUCACAAACUGGUUUUCCGCCAUGGACAAGCACUGGGAUCUUCUUGUGAACCGGAUUGUGCUUCAAAAGCAAAGCACUUUUGUUUGAGAGAUCUUCUGCAACAAAUUCAUAUGGCACGCCUUUCAAUUUCAGAGCCCAAAUUACCCUGUAAACAAAUGGACUCAGCAGGGUUCCAUGAAGCUUCACUUCAGCCAUGAUAAUUCUAAGAUUGAAUUUGAAUUAUCGGUUUUUGUGAUCGAUGUUGUGUAUGGCUGUUAACUCAUUACAUAUGUUUCUGAAUUUAUAGUGAUUUAUGGUAUGCACUUUCUUGAGCAGAAAGCUUCAAUUUUCCAUUAAUAAAACGAUUAAUGAUGAAUUCAAAGAACUGGUGCGAUGACUUUAAUUAAAUAUUUUUUUACGCUGUGUGCAACCGCAUUUUGAGGUUAAUUUAAAGGAUAUUAUUUUCUCCUGAUCAAAACUUUUAUAUAAAAAAAUAAUUAUGUGAUUGGUAGUUAUUAAGUAAAAAUAAAAUAAAAAAUAAAUUUUGAACGUAAAUAAAUAAAAAUCAUAUAUGUUAUAAAGAUUUUUUAAAACUCAAAUAAGUGCACCCAAUUCCUAAUUUAAAACGCUAGCCAAUGAGAUCAAUAAUUUGGUCAACCAGUCAGAGAUAACCAUACAAUAAUUAAUCAAAAAUUUGCCAUUUGUUUUACAUUUAAGACCUUUGCGUCAUGCAUGAUGAUCAAUUGAUCAUGACAUGGAUCAAUUAGUCAACAAGACAUUUGCCUUUUGUGCAUGUAUCCACAUUGGACACAAAUAUAAUUUGUUAUAAAAAAAUUGGACUAAAUUAUUUUUUAAUAUAUUUUUUUAAAAUAAUACAUCUGAUCCUAGAGGGCCUGUUAUUUAGUUCGUAAAUCUUAUAACAGGACCCAUGAUUUUUUUUUUUUUUAAAAUCUUAUGGGUCCCCUAUUAUUUAAUUUGUGGAAUUGACGGAGGUAACUUACAAUUUCAUUUUUGUAAUUUACAGCUUUCAAUAAAUUCAGAUAAUAUUAGGCGGUAAAAGUCGGCCAAGCUGGAGGAGUAGAUCUAUAAAAUUUGCUAGCACUUUGCACUAUCUGUUUGGUGCCCAGAAACACACAUAUAUAUCAUCCACUUUUUAUUUAACGCUGGGUUUUUUUCGACCCAUAAUAAUUUCUCUUUCCACAUCAACUUUUUAAUAAAAACUUUUAUUGUCAAGAUAAAUUGUUAGUAAUUACUUCACUAAUCCUCCCUUUUUUUUGGGCCAAUUUCUCUUUCGCAACUGACAAAAUUUAAUUCACAUCAUGUGAUAGUAUGAUUGCAAAUAAAUUUGAAGUUAUCUCUCGCAAGUUAUUCAAAAAUACAUUGACAUAUCUUGUGUAUAGAACUAAAGAACAAUAGCAAAACCAAUAUCCUUUAGCCGAUCGCUGCUAUUAGGACGGCAAAAUUAGUAGUAAAUAUGUAAAUUUGUCUAAACCCAUCUACAAAAUUCUGUCCACUGCGAAUAAUUUUGUAGGUUGCGGAUAAGUUUGAUAUUUUAAAUUUAAGUUCGUUGCAGAUUACGGAUGGAUUCAAUAUUGAGAAAAAAAUUGGCGGGUGUCUGCCGCUAGCAUUUUUUUAAUUAUUUAUGUUUUUAAUUUUAAUCACAAAGAUUGUCUUAAAAAAAAUUUAAUCAUAAAAAUAUAAUAGUUAAAGAUAUUACUCUAAUCUUCCAAAUUCCUAAACCUAACCUAACUCAUGACAGUUGCACACCCUACUCCUUCAAGUAUGUAUGUAUGUAAAUGUAUACACACGCCCACACACACAAAAUUAGCUUUUAAUAAGUAGAUUUAGUAUUUUUCAAGUUUAAUAUUAAUGAUAUUUUAAUUUAAUUUAAUUACUUUUGUUUGUUUCGCUUUAAUGACUUGAACUUAGUAAUUGCUGGCUAAGAUUGGAUUUUUAUUUAUCUAAUUAAUGGUCAAUAGUUGUCCAAAAUAUAUUUGUUAAUAUUGUUGACAAUACUUAUAUAUUGACUGAAAGAUAGAGCAAGGCAUUAAUUUUAGUAAUAAUUAUUUGCCUACAACAAAAAUAUUUUGUGUUAGAAUGAUAUAUUUUGUGUAUUUGUUUUAAUAUUGAAACUUUAAUUUCUCUUUUAUAUUGAUAAAAUCUAAAGUUGAGUAGUUUAUGUAGAUUUUUUAGUCUGUUACUAUAAAGUUAUAUUUUGAAUUAUAUAAUUUAAAUUAUUAAAUAUAAUUUUUUAAUAUUUAUAAUUUUAAAUAAAAAAAUUUAUUAAAAAAAAAAACUACUACAUGUUAUGGGUGGAUUUGCUAAUUAUUAAAAAUUAUAGCGAACAAACUAAAGAAAAAAAGAGGCAACCGGUUACGGGCGAAUUUAAUAAUGACAAACCCAUAAUAAGCAAUACCAUUACCAUCGGCAGCUUCUAUAACGCAGGGCCGGCGGCGGUCUUGAAUUGUUAGAAGUUGCAACAUUAAUUAGCAAAAUUUUCUGCGUCAUCCCUGAAGUAUAGCAUAGAAUUAGAUAUAUCCCCUUGUUUUCAAAAUUAGUCUCUUAUUCCCAUAUGUUGUUUACUUAAUUUUUUUUUUCAUUUCAAUUGGAUUUAUAACUUCGUAAUGUUGCGCCUUGUAAAAUGUAUGCUUAAAACGCGUGCUUCUUAUUUUUUAUAUACUGCUAAGAGAAUUUGAGAAUAGAAAUAUAUAAAAUGGUGUCUCAUUUAUUAAUUAUUUAUAUCCUCUAAAUAGCACCUAACAUGCAAGCUCACUUCAAUAGCAAAAUUAAUUAAACAAAAAAAAAAAAAAGCAUUUUUAACACCAGUACAAAAACAUAACGAGUGUAAAGGAAGACUCAUUAACUUAUUUUAUGAUAUUAAAUUCACGCAGAUACCAUCAAUGUUUCUCGACCACGUUUGAAAGAGACCACCAACUCACGCUGAUUUGGAAGAUUUUCUUUAAGUAUAUAAGUGAAAAUUAUUACUCUAGUCUUCAAAAUUCUUAAACCUAAUCUAAGUCAUUACAGCCGCAUGCCUUGCUCCUUUUAUUAUAUGUAUAUAUUUUACGAUGAAUACAAUAACUUUCAAUAAGAAGAAUUUUAUACUUUUCAAGCUUAAUAUUAAUGAUAAUUUAAUUUAUUUUAUUUUAAUUACUUUGAAUUGUUUUUGUUUAAUGACCUGAACAUAUUGGUUGUUUGCUAAAGUUGAAUUUUUAUUUGUCUAAUUAAUUGACGAUAGCAAUUGUAUAAAAUUUACUUAAAAAGAUAAAAUCUUAGUAGAUUACAGAAAGAUUUAGUAAUGACAAACAUGUAGCAGCCAAUACACAUUACCAUCCCCAACUGCUAUAAUGCAGGGCCAUGGGCAGUCUUAAUUGUUAGAAUGUGCAAAAUUAAUUAGUAAAAUGUUCAGCGGUAUCCUUGAAUUUUGGCAUAGAAUUAGAUAUAUCCCCUAGUUUUCAAAAUUAGUUUUUGAUUCCCCUGUUGUUUACUUUAUAUAUAUAUAUAUAUAUAUAUAUAGUAGUUUUAUGGUCAGGGAUUUUAAAGUGCGGGAAAGUCCGGGAAAACUUUAAAACCGCAUGGUUUUCAAGGUUUAAAACUGUAAGUCUUUAAAACCAUGCGGUUUUAAAGGUUUCCUGCACUUUCCCGUACUUUAAAAUUCCGGACUGAAACAUAUUUAUAUAUAUAUAUAUAUAUAUAUAUAUAUAUAUAUAUAUAUAUAUAUAUAUAUAUUUCACUUGGAUAUAUAACUUUGUAAUGUUGCGCCUUAUAAAAUGUAUGCUUAAAAUGCAUGCUUAUUACUUUUUAUAUGCUGUUAAGAGAAAUUGAGAAUAGAAAUAUGUAAAAUGGAGUUUCAUUUAUUAAUUAUUUAUAUCCAUUAAAUAGCACCCAACAUGUAGUUCGUCUCAAUAGUAAAAUUAAUUAAACGAAGCAAAAAGAUUUUUUUUAGCAUCAGUACAAAAAUAAAAAAAAGCACAAAGCGAGAAUCACAAACUUAUUUUAUGAUAUUACAUUCACGCAGAUGUCACCAAUAUUUCCCGACGACGUUUGAAAGCGAUCACCAUCUCAUGCUGAUUUGGAAGAUUUUCUUCAAUUACAGGGACUUUCCUGAAAUUUUCAAACCACUCAUGCAAGCUUGGGAAUUUGUGAGAUUCAAAUAGUUUCACUCCCAUUACAUCUUCAAGGACAUGCAGCCAAUAAGCAAUGGCUUCAAAUGCUAGGUCCGCUAAGCCAAUAUUGUCUCCAUUGAAAAAUUUCUUCUCUCCUAGGCCAUGUUUUUCAACGGUUUGAAGCAUUUCCAAGGCUGCCUUCAUUGCAUUCUCCAGGUCUUGUCCAGUGCUGAAAAACAUUUUCCAAACAGCUACUCCCUGCCACAAGAUUUUAUAUCUAAUUCUUAUCACCACAUGAUUAACAAAAGAAAUUAGAUAAUAUGUACACACGCGUCAAAAUAUCUUUUCAAGGCUAGACGUUUCAAACUGUCAAAGUAUUUAGGAGAGUUUAUCCACUAAUUUUUAGACUAGUUUAGUAUAACUUUUCAAAGCUUAUUUAAAUAGAAUUUUUAUUAGUAAAACUUUAAUUUUUAUAAAAAAAAUUAAUUAUUUAAUUGUUAAUGAAAUUUAAAAAAAAUUUGAAAUUACUUUAACAGAUAAAUUUUUAAAGUUAUGUUACGAAAUAAAUAAAAUAAGAUUAUAAAAUAAAUGAUGAACAUUUUAAACAAUUUAACUUUUAAAAAAAAUUCCUCAAACCUCUAUUUCCAAAAGUUUAAAUUUAAACUUUUACUAGUAUAGGCAAAAGAAUUUAUUUAAUCCCAAAAUGUUCUACUAAAAAUAAAACUAAACAAUAAUAAAAAAUUUAAAAAGAGUUUUUUUUUUAUUAAAUAAACACUUAUGAGUAAUAAAUAAGCCACAUCAAACAAAUACUCAAUGAUAUAAAAGGAAGAAGAUAAAAAAAAAAAUCCUCUUAUUAUUUUAGUAAAUUAUAAUUUUGCUUUCAUGUUUCAAAAGACCUUAAAAUUCUCCCUAUCGCUAAAACAAUUAUAUUUUAAUAUUUUACCCUUGAUGUGGUAAAAUCCACGAUUAAUUAAGAAAAAUUUCUAAAGGUAAAAAAUUUAAAGUAAUUAACCGCAUUUUUUUGAUAACUUUCUCUAAUGUAAAAUAAAAGGCUCAUUGAGCUUAGUCGGCCGUGAAUGCAUUUUGCACAUGCGAGGACAUUAGUUUGAGCAUUAAUAGAAGAUAAAAAUUAAUGUUUAGAGAGUCAUAUUUCUCAUAUACAAUGAAAAAUUAAAGUAUAUAAAGAAAUCCGACAAGAUUAAUUAAAUUUACAAACGUGUUAGCAAGAAAAGUUGUGGUGCGAACCUUGUCUUCGGCAAAUUUAAUCCAAAAACGAGCUUGAGCUCUAUCAUAAGGAUCACUUGGCAUCAAGGAGGGAUUCUGUGGCCACAUCUCUUCAAUGUAUUCGAGAAUAACCAUGGACUCGCAAACUGGUUUUUCGCCAUGAACGAGCACUGGUAUCAUCUUGUGAACUGGAUUAUACUUCAGAAGCGAAGCACUUUUGUUGUAGAGAUCUUCUUCAAUGUAUUCAUACGGGAUGCCUUUCAAUUUCAGAGCCCAUACCACCUUGUUGCUAAAUGGACUCGCCCAUCCCCCGUGGAGCUUCACUUCAGCCAUGUGUCUAAGAUCGAAUUUGAAUAUGUUUGCGGUUGUUUUGCUUAGCUGAUGAGUUAUUGCAUACGUACAUCUGAAUUUAUAAUGAUUAUUCAUUAAUAUUGGAAUAUGGAGUGCGCUUGCUUGAGCAGGGAGCUUCAUAUUUCCAAUUUAUUUAAUAAAACGAUUAAAUUAAGUUGAAUUCAAUGAACUAAUGCUGCGACUUUUUAACAAUUCUGUUAUAUAUUCAACGAGAAGAGGUAUCGUAUUUGACGGGAAUCUCUUGAAACAGUGCUGAAUGAACAAGUAAUCUUAUUUAAUUUGGUCAACUGGUCAGAUAUGGCUUAAUUAUAUAUUUGGCGUUUGUUUUAGGUGCCCAGCUAGCCCUGCUGCUGUGCUUUUGACUUUACCAUGGGGUGGAGUCGUGGAGAUAUCAUCAUCCCAACUGAAGACAUAUUAUGAUAUUCUCCUGAAAACUUUGUGAGACUCAUUUACUCUACAAUUUUAGCAUUUUAGGCCAAAUAACUUCAUAUAAAUGACGUUUUGUCCCCCGGCUCCAUCUCUUCUAUAUAAAUCCGAACACCUGAAAAAUGACGAGACCGGAACAACUCUCCCUCUUAAGUCUAUGCAAAUUUUACACACCAGAGAAAGAGAGGGAGAGGGGCAGCCAUGAGAGACAACGAUACAGAAAAGAAUAUGGAAGAGAGUUUAUUAAUACCAAAAGAGAGUUUAUCAUCAACAUCCACAACAUGGGAUUUGUUGAGUGGAGAAGUGAAAAAGCAGGGUUACAUAGCAGCACCAAUGGUGGCAGUAACUUUAUCACAGUAUUUGCUUCAAGUUGUUUCCAUGAUGAUGGUUGGUUAUCUUGGUCAACUUGCUCUUUCUAGCACCGCCAUGGCCAUCUCUCUAGCUAGCGUCACCGGCUUCAGCGUCCUUGUGAGUCCUACAAUCCAUAUAUAGUUAUAUACACAAGAUUGUUUAUUCUUUCUUUUGAUAGGUAUUUGCAUCAUUGCAUGUGGGAUUUAAACAAAUAGAUGUGCCAAAUUUCUGAUGUUAAAAAACAUGCAAUUAACUAAUACCCUGUUUUUAAAAAUGCCAUUAAUUUUUAAAGGACUUGAUUUGCUCUUUUUUUUUUAAAAAAAAAAAUUCUACAGCUAACUUGAAUUGUGUAAUAUUUUCUUUGAAACAGUUAGGAAUGGCAAGUGCUCUGGAAACAUUAUGUGGGCAAGCAUAUGGAGCUCAGCAAUAUCAAAGAAUUGGAACUCAAAUUUACACUGCAAUAUUUUGUUUAUUCUUAGUAUGUUUUCCGCUUUCCUUUCUAGGGAUUUACAUGGGAAGGCUGCUAGUUUUGGUAGGCCAAGACCCCCAGAUUUCACACGAAGUAGGCAAGUUUAUAAUCUGGCUUCUUCCAGCUCUGUUUGCUUAUGCAGCAAUGCAGGCGCUUAUUCGAUAUUUUCAGUCUCAAAGUUUGAUCAUUCCCAUGUUCUUAAGCUCCUAUGCCGCUCUUUGUUUGCAUAUUCCCAUCUGUUGGGGUUUGGUAUUCAAGUCUGGACUGGGAAACCUUGGAAUUCGAGAGUUCUUCCAAUUUGCUAUCCCUUCUGCAGUAAUGGUUUGGUAUGUUAAUUAUCUUCUGGAGUUUCAUUUUCCCUUCUCAUAGAUAUCGUAGACACGUCAUAAAUUUUCAUGCAUCUUCUUUUGUUUAUAAUUUUGCAGCCUAGAAUGGUGGUCGUUUGAAUUGCUCAUUUUAAUGUCAGGGCUGUUGCCUAACCCACAGCUUGAAACUUCAGUCCUAUCUGUAUGGUAUGUUGACAUAUCUUUGUAUGUCAAAGUUCUAUACAGAGAAGCACCUACCAAAAGGAAAUAUAUUUUUUUUCUUUUUUUCCCCGACUGCUCAUUAUUUGUCAACUUCUUUGGGCAGUCUCAGUACUAUUCAAACCCUCUCUGCAAUCCCAUAUGGACUUGGUGCUGCAGUGAGGUUUGUUCAUAACAAUCAUUUAAAUAAUAAUUGUUUUAUAUCAACUAAUUAGCAGAUUAACCAUUAUUUCCUUCUAUAGUACUAGAGUUUCAAAUGAACUAGGAGCUGGGAAUGUGCAAAGAGCCCGUGUAGCUGUCUAUGCUGUGGUCUUUAUGGCGGUCAUGGAGACUAUCAUAGUAAGUGCAUCUCUCUUUGCCAGCCGGCGUGUUUUUGGUUAUGUUUUCAGCAAUGAGGGACAAGUUGUGGAUUAUGUCACAACCAUGGCUCCUCUGGUUUGUUUGUCUGUCAUCAUGGAUAGCUUACAAGGAGUCUUUUCAGGUUAAAUUAACUUCUUCAACUCUGUCAAUUGCUAAAUAGUUCUCUUUAAGUAGAAAUAAAAUUUUUCAGGUUUCUAAAUUCUUUUUAUUAUUUUUAAGGUGUUGCAAGAGGAUGUGGGUGGCAGAAUAUAGCUGCUUUUGUGAAUCUUGGGGCUUAUUAUUUGUGUGGAGUCCCAACUGCUGCCAUUUUGGGUUUCUGGUUAAAGUUUAGAGGAAGGGGCCUAUGGAUUGGGAUACAAGCUGGUGCUUUUACACAAACACUUCUGCUUGGCAUCAUAACAACAUUUACAGAUUGGGAAAAACAGGUCUGUUUCUCAACAUUUAAUCCCUUAAAAAUUAGAGAAGCUUAUUGGACUAUAUAUGUAAAUAUGUAGCAAUUUUUUUUUCCCAAUAUGUAUCUGAUACCUUUCGACUGAAAGUUCAAGAUUAAAAUCACUCAGCUUGAUCUGAAAUAGUUAGUAUUAUCAUCUUAUGCAGAAAUGGUUUUGCUCAUUGAGAAAAUGAUAUUCAAUAACACAGAUGCAAACUCAUUUGAAAAUUUUGCCAUUGAGAAAAUGAUAUUCAAUAACAGACAUGCAAACUCAUUUGAAAAAUUUGCUUUUUUGCAAGAAUUGAUAACCAUUUUCUAGUUUGUUAAUUGUUACAAGUUCUGUGUUUCUAAGGGGUUUCUCAUGUUGCAGGCAAGUACAGCAAGGAAAAGAUUAUCAAAGGGAAGAUCUUUAGAAGAUAAUAGAAUAGUAUGUGAGUGAGCAGAGUCAAUCAAUGAGCUGAUAUAUACAUUGUCCAGUUGAAAGAGAUAAUCAUUGCUUGAGAAAAUGAGCUGCUCAUAUGUCAAUUGAUGGCCAAGAAGGUUCCCCAAUCUGAUCUAUGGAGCAUCGCAUUUCAUAAAACUCUGUUUCUAGAGAAAAAAAAAAAAAAUUAACAGCUUCUUAGGAUUGGAGCAUCAGGUGACUUAGCAUUUCCAGUAUGAAAGAAUUAUAAGAUAGAUGAUGCUGCAAAAAUGAAUAGAGAUAAAAUUAAGCAAGAGAAAAUGUUUGAAUGUUAUUAAUGAAACCUUUUCCAGUGAUUGUAGAGAUAAUUUUCUUUGUAUUGAAACUUUCAGCAUCUGAAAGAUAAGGAAAAUAUUAAAAGAAAAAAGAAAAUUCUUAAAUCUUUUCCAUGUCACUCCAGCAAAGUUGAAUUGUCAUUCUAAACCCUAUACCAAAAUGUAAGGUGGCCUGUGGCCUAUAGGUAAUACACAAUUUGACAACCCCAUAUAUUUAGUAAUCUAGGUGGAUGCCAUUUAUUUAUUUUUUAUUUAAUUUUUUUUCAUUUUUAAUGCAAACAACGCCUCUUUCAUUGUGGCAUUGGAAUAUAUAGAGAUUUGUACACUGAUUUUGGACCAUAAUUCACAAAUAAUGCGACGCAUAUCUUUCUUUCAGUACUUCUUCAGGAGGAUAAGAUACAGACAUUGUUGUCUUUUUACCUGAAGCAAGUGCAUGUGCAUGAAUUGUUGUUGUCUGUUAAUCUGCUGCCACUUUGCUGCCAAAAAACUUGAAAAAUAAACCAGGAAAAUUUUCAAUAAGCAAAGUCAAACAACUAACCCCUGUUUAAGUAAUUUUCCGAAGAAAACUUUUAAACACUCAAAUAAAGCACUCAAGUAAAGUAUUUCUGUCACAUUAGCUUUCGAGUGAGGUUUGAUUUACAUUUAUAUCAGAUAUACCAAGUGUUUUUUAUUCUUUUAAUUAAUGUAUAUCACAGCUUGGAAAUUCUAAAAAUUAAUCAUGCUUAAUCUUGAGCAACAAUAUCUGUAAUCAUCAUACGAGGUCAAAGGUGAAGGAAAAGAAAAAGAAAGAGUUAGUUUUAUGUAUAUAAGUGAAAGGAUCUGUUAUAGAGUAUUUCUGUUGCAUGGUUUUCGGAGGGAUAGCAUUGUCCACAGCAUUUGGACUUUGCUUCUGAUUCAAUGGCAUUUAGAAUUUGGUUUCCGCUGAGAUCAUAUACAGCUUGAUUCUGAUAUCUUCCAUUUUGGAGGGAUUCAGAUAAAUUGAAGAAGUUUGAGGUUCCAGUUCAAAUUGGUAAUGCUGCAGAUAAUAUAUAUAAUUUUGUAGAGGUUUUCUAACUUUUAUUUUUAGUAAUGUAUUCAUGUCCUGUCAUUCUUCUUUCUGCUUAAAUCCAGUUGCCCAUGUUGGAAUUUCUUUUCAGCUUUUGUAUUCUUUUUCCUUUUUGUUCAAUAAUGCUAUAGACGAUGCUCUACCAUUUAAAAGAUAUAAAUAAAAAAAUUUAUAAAUUUUUACUUUAUCAAGGUGUGAAACCUUAUAAAAUUUAUAAAUUUAACUAAUGAACAGAAUAUUUGGAGUUGUUAUACGUGGCGUUGUUAUACCAGAACUACAACAGUUAAGAUUGUACUUUGGACCAGUAGUCCGCAAGUUCGGGUUUCCAGCCGAUAUACCUCUGUGAUUAAAACUUUAAAAACAUUUUCUUCUCGGGUUAUAUAACCCAAAACAGACUUUCCUUUAGUCUAAAACAGGGUACCAAACCAGAUAAGAAAUUAUCAAAAGUUUUCUGAUGCACAGGAUCCUUGCAAAAGGCAAGUGCAGAGCAUACUUCCUUAGGUUUCAAAAUGAACAAAUUUAAUUCUUUAUUCCUUUUCUUUCUCUAGAGAGCUUCAUUUGCAGAGAGAGGAGAGAAGUUUAAGGAUUCAUAGUGAUAAAAACACACGAGAGUUUAUUGCUUCGAACUUCUAUCUUACAAGAGAUGAGAGAACUCAUUAUAUAGGAGAAAUCUCAGGAAGAUAGGACAGGACCCCUAUCUUUUACAAAAGCAAAAGUAAAAGGUACAUCAUGACACACUUUUAAUUAUUACAAAGGGACAAGGAUGCUUUAAUAAUGAAAGCAUGACUUUGGACAAAGCAAAAGUAAAACUUAAAGUAAAAGCAAAGCAAGAUGCAAUAAUUAUAUAGGACAAAACACAAAGGGACACAGCAUUUAUUACAUGAAGACAAACUACUUUAUGGAGAGGAGAGAUUCAUGUAGUCAUCUUCAGAGGAACUUUCUGUUGUGUCUGGGUCCGUGUCACCAGAGUGAUGAGGGUUUGGGAAAAAAAGGUUUGGAGAGCUUUUGAUGUUUACAGGAGGGACCACGGCAAGGUGGGUGAGGGCAAUUAUAGUCUCUUGGAGUACACCUUGGAGUAUACUUUGGAGAGGUUUGGGUGGCUUUGUCAACUUUGGAGGUUUGGGCUGGCCUUUUGGAAGGUUGGGUUGAUGGACCUGCUUCGAAGGGUCCGGGUUCAUCCAUUGUUGGUUGGGGAAAUGGUUGUAAGUGUUGGCUUAGAGGAAGAAAUGCAUCCCAUGGAUCUUGGGAAUCCUGGAACAGGAAGUCAGUGUAGUCUGGUUUUUCUUCCUUGAUAAUGAUACCUGUGGACUUUGGUUUGGAUAUAGUGGACGGAGUAGGAAUCAUGAUGAGGUCAUGUUGUGGACCUAAGGAGGUGUGGAAGAUAUCUCGGUGUAGAGGAGUCUGGUGGUUCAAUUGACAAAGAUAAUUGUACAGGGUGGUCUGGAUUUCAUUGUCAAUGAUAGCUGGAUGAGGGGCAGUAAACCAUUCAUAAACUUGAUCUUGAGUCCAAAAGAGGUUUGUGUCUGGAUGUUGGAAAUAUGGUCGGUGAAUGAUAAAAAUGGAUGUGAACAUUUGGGCUUCAGAAGCUGGUAUACGGUCGAGAUUGUAGAUCUCUGUUAGUUGCUGUAACUUUUUUCUCCACCAUGGGAUGGGAGAAUACAAUUCCAGUAAUAUCCAGAUAAGAGAAGUGGCUUUUUUCGGGUCGAGGAGAUGGGAUAAGGUAGGAGCAAUUGGUAGGAUGAGCUUGGUAGCAUAAAGAACAGUUAGGCACCAGAGGUACCAUAACUCGUCUUCAGUGAUUUCUCUAGAUGGAUCAAGGGUCAAACCUGUCAGGAACAGAUUUUCUGGGUGGAAAGUGGAAAAUGGAAAGGAGUCGGCCAUAAGGUAGGCUUUCAUGAAGAAGCGAAAAACAGCUUUCCUUGCAAAUUCCUGGAUAGCAAAAACAGAGGAUAAUGGUUUGUUAAGGGGAAAAGUCUUUUUGGUGAGAGCUUCUGGUGGAAGAGAGGUAGCCAUGAAGAUGAUAGGAAAAUGGUAUGCUGUAGAGAUGACGGUGAGAGUGUGUUCUGGUUUGGAGAGUCUGGAGAGCAUAUCAGGGAUGAGGUUCUGGGAUCCCUUUAUAUGCUUGACAGAGAAGUCAUAUUUGAAAAACCAAUCUUUUAAUCGGAGUAGCAUCUUUUCUGGAACAGUUUUACCUUUGAAGUUGAGAAUAUUAGGGAAAGCUGAACUGUCCAUUCGGAUAAGGAAGUGGUGUCUAAUCAGAUGGUACUCAAAUUUCUUGAUGUCAUUCUUUACCGCUAAGAUUUCUUUGAACACGCUAUGGUAGUGUUUCUGUGUGUCAGAAAAAUGUCCACUAGCGUAAGCGAUAAAGUGUUCUUUUCCAUCGAGUUCUUCAAGGAGGAUGGCACCCCAAGAUUCAUCACUGGCAUCUAUCUGUAAGAUGCGCUUUCCAUCUGCAAUUAACUUUAAAGGAGGCGGAUUUUGCGCGAUUUGUUUGAGAGUAGUGACAGCACGUGUGUGGUCAUCAUUCCACUCAGCAGGUUUCUUUUUCAAUAAAGCCGAGAGAUGAUGAGUGUAGUGGUCCACAUGUGGGAUGAAGUCUCUGAUGUAGUUGAUAAUCCCGAGAAACUGUUGAACUUGCUUUUUGGAAAGUUGUUGAUCUGGAAAGUGAAGCAACUCUUGAGCGAUGUGCUUUCCUGGCUGGUAAUGGCCAUCUUUAAUGAUCAUACCAAGAAAUUCGAUGGUAUCUGUGGCAAUGGUGCUUUUCUUGGCAGACAACAUGAUUCCAUGACUGUGGACAAGAUCAUAGAACUGGCUUAACAGCUGGUGAUGUUCAUCAUGUGAACUUGAAAAAAGCAAGAUGUCAUCAAUAUAAAUCAAUGCAUGAGACAGGAUAGGCUGAAAGAUCUUGAUCAUGGAUUUUUGAAAGAUAGAUGGGGCAGUUUUGAGGCCGAAGGGUAAGACUGUCCAUUGGAAAUGGGCAUUGGGAAUGCAAAAGGCAGUCUUAUAUCGUUCAGAGGGUUCGAUGCCUAAUUGCCAAAAACCUGACUUUAAAUCAAAUUUGGAAAAGAUCUGGGCAUUUUUUAGAAAAGUAAACAUGCUUUGUCGGCGGGGUAAAGGAAAUUUGUCAUCUUGCAAAAACAUGUUUAGGGGAUGAUAGUCUAUGACUAGGCGUUUUUUCCCUCGAACAAUUUCAGAAUGCUUUUCGACAUAAAAGGCUUGGCAAGCCCAUUGGGAAUUUGUGGGCUCGAUGAGACCUUGGACCAACAAUUGAGAACAUUCAUGUUGGGCUAGGAGUAAGUCAGACGGACUCAUUCCUGGAUGGGUAGCCUUGGUUGGAUUGAUGUCUUCAUUGAGUUUGAAGGGUAACUUAACAAAGAAGGACUUAUUUUUCCACAAAGGAUUUGGAUGGGUGGACUCAGAAUGAGAUUCUGGACAAAAACUCAAAAGUUUGGUUGAAAGGUCCUGGUAAGACUGAGGGGUUUCGGACAGAUUGUAAAGUUUCAGGAUGUCUGUGAAUGGUUUGAACAUGGACUUGACUCGAAUUCCAUUGGGAAUGAUUUGAAGGUGUUUGAUCUGGUGGAGGAUGUCAAAUCCUAACAAGAUAUCCUUAUUAGGAAGGGUUGAACCAAUAACUUUGGUCCAAAUGACACAAUUGGGAAAGAUUUGAAUACCAAUGGGUUUUUUGGUAAUCAAUGAGGUGGUGAACAAUUUGCCGUUGACAGCUUUGAAAUGUUCUUCAGACUGUAUCCAAUAGUCUGGUGGAAGAAUGUGCGGAUUAAGCAUGCUGCGUUGGGCUCCAAUAUCAAUAAGACCAAUUGCUGGAAUGGGCCUUUGGAAUUUUGAGGGCAAAAUCUGGAGUUUGAUGGAAGGUAUAGGAACUGUAGUGUCAAGGGACAAUAACUGUUGAUGAAAAAUGACUUAUGACUGAUCACUGUCUAAAUCAUCAGAGGACUGCUGUAGUGCGAACACGGUUUCAUCAUUGGGUUCAUCUUGUUCAGAGAAAUAGAAUUCCAGUUCAUCCUUUUCUAGGGAGUAAUCGGUAGUAGCUUGAAGAUGUUCAACAAGGCGAAUGGAUUUUUGUCUUUGGUUGAGACACUCUUUGGCAAAAUGACCCUUUUUCUUGCAGAUAAAACAUCUGAUGGACUUUCGUCUUUUAGAGUCUCGGGAAGAAGAAGACUUCUUUCUGAAGAAUCUGUAAAGUUUUCUGGACCUGCGGGGUUUGGAUGAAAAUUCUAGGGUUUUGAAUUUUCGAAAAUGCUUUUUCUUUUUGGAACUACAAUCACAAUUCUUCUUUUGUUUGCAUUUGAUCUACAAAUAAGGCUUUUUGCAGGCACUUCUGAAUGGUUCAUUGUCUUUCAACAGGUCUUUGAAAAACUAUUUUUGUUCACAGAGUUUAUCAAGACAUGUCUUGGCAAGCUGAAAGAUUUUGCCAAGAGAGAUGUUGUCAAUGACAAGAUUGGAGGCGGUGAGCUGCCGCUGUAUGUCUGGUUGGAGUUCUUCUGGAAGGGAAGCCAGAAAGACAUGCUUUAGUGUAGGCUCAUUAAAUCCAUUAAGCUUAUAGAAUAACAAGGACAUGCGUUUGUAAUGGAAAUCAAGAUCCUUAGCAUUGAGGGAGCAGCAUUUCAUGUUAAGAUAGUCUCGUCGGGCGGCUUUAAAGGCCGCAGCUGGGUCUCCGAGAAAUUGAUCAUUAAGAAUGGCGAGAGCACUUGAGACUUCUGGUAAUUGGACAAACUGUAAUUGUCAGUAUUGGCCUAAUGAAUCAAACCAAUCUCUUAGAGCACCCGUAAAACGAGUAGCAAAUUCUCUAAGGACUGAUUCAGUUGUGGCUCCUAGGUGAAGCAUUUGGAGAUCAAUCCAGGCAGACAUUUCAUUAAGGCGGUCACGCCAUUUGUAAGAUGGGAUAUCAUCAAAGGUGAACCAUGGACCAUUUGAUGAUUUAUGACUAGAUGAACUAGUUUGGGCCGGAGGAGGCUGAUGUGUAGCAGAAGAUUCAGGCAUUUUUUCUUCAACAUCAGAAGGAAUGUCAACAUAUGGUUCUGUCCGGGAUGACUGACCUUGGGUAUGUUGAUCAGGUUGAGCCAUUAGAAUCUUGGUGAUAUCAGCAUAAGAGUUUUCAGAGUCACUGGUGGAUGCUGAAGAUUCUGUGUCAGUCUCAGUGUGGCUAUCUGAAACGGCUAGAUUUGAAUCAGAAGUUUGGUCAUCGGUGGAAGAUGAGUGGUCAACUGUGUGGGCACUGAACUGGUGCAUGGGUUCUUUAUCUUUGGAUUUAGUAGGAGGUUGAGAUAAGGGUGGUUCAGGUGGUGAUGGUGAGGCCGGUGUAUAUCCUGGGGAUUGGUGGCCAGAGGUAGGAUUGGAGGAUGGGUGAAUUGUGACGGGUCGUGGUUGAGGCUUCGGCUUUGAUUUAGGUUUUGAUGGUGGUGGCAAUGGAUGUUCUCGAAAGAGUGUAUGAGUCAUACCAAAUAACUUGGAAGGCUCAUAUUGUCUAACAAGGGAAAGUAUAGAGGCAAAAGGAUGAUAAGUGGGACCAAUGGAAGGAAUGAGAGGUGAAGAAGUAAAAAGGGACGGACGUUGUUUUUCAGACUCAAUUUGGCAAAGCUCAACUUUUAGGCGUCUGAUCUCUCUUUCUUUUUGGUCAAAUUUUGGGCCAUAAUAGCGAUGGGCAAGCAUGGUUCGUAACUCAGAAUCAAGUUGAGCAAUUUUAGACUGCAGGUUUUGGUGGAUCUGCUGCAUCUGUGUAGAGAUAGAGUCAACUUUUGUCUCAAGUUGUUCAGUUCGCAAACUGAUUUUUUCAACUUUUGAGUUGAUAUUCAACAAAGUAUCAUUUUGAGCUCUAGCAUUGUGAGUUUGCCAGUUGAGGACUGACUCAAAAGGUUUGGAUGGUUCAAGAUGACCAGUUGAAGUUAUGGGUGAAGGGAUAAAAGGUUUGGAUACAACAUUUCGUUGGGAAUCUGUGUGGGUGUCUAAAGGAGGGAAGGAAGAAGAAUAUUCUGAAGAAGUAGAUGAAAACAUCAUACAACUCAGUGGUGGAGGUAGAUCUGGGAUUGGUGAUGGAAUCUCAUAUUUGCAAUGCUUUACAAUCCAUUUGAGUUCUUUUUGGUAAAUUGGUAAAGGAGCUGGUGGCGAUGGAGGGUCUUUUGGUGGUUUAGGGGGACUGUGGUGGCAAGAGGUAGAAGAUUGUUUCUUUUUGGUUUUGCUUUUCCUUUUGGUAACAUAAUCAUCGUCCUCUUCCCAAUCAUCCCAGCAGGGACAAUCUGGGUCACAGUUGCCUGAUCCAGGGACAUCCCAUAGGAAAUGUCCAUUGUGCUUGGCUGGAUAAACAGGGUAACCUUCAGAAUUGAACCCUGUAAUAAGCAGAUCUUCCUGGGCUGUUUGAACAGCUGUGAUCAUGGAGGAAUAUGUAAAAGAGAGCCGAGGGGGCUCUUGAGGAGCACUGGGAGGUGGUUUAAAUGUCAUUCUGACCGUUCCAUCUGGUCGACGUUCAAACAUGCUCUCAGAUGUCUAAACUGGAGCUGUAUUGUUAUGGAACUGUUCAUAGUUGGAGAUCCAUUCAAGUGGCAUAAGCUUGAUGAGCUCAUGGCGAGGAAUUUGUCUUGGGAUCUGGAUGAUGGUUGGGAUUUGGUCAGAUUCAGCUAAUACCAUGAAGGCAUCAGAAUGGUGUUCUAGAGUGGGAAGAUCUAAGGCAUGAUUUUGAAGCCUAUAGACCAGUUGAUGGUGUAUGGUGGCAAUUUUGGCAGAGGAAAUCUGUUCAGCACCUUGGAUCUGAACUUGAACUUUCAAGGUUGUGGGUAGAUUGGUAUAUGUUCAUUAGUUAAAUUUAACUAAUGAACAGCAUAACAAAAUAUUUGGAGUUGCUUAAUACCAUAGAAAAAAAAGCAGAAAGAGAUGUUCAAGAACAAAACACAAAAAUUUUCAUCAAGUGGAGCAUCGAUCAUGCCAGCAUAAUAACAUAAUUACAUAAUGCUCGAAGAGCACCCAAGACCUUCUGAAAAAAUAAUAUAACUUAAAAUAUCAAAAAACACAAAUAAUUAAUUGAUUAUCCAAAUAUAUAAACAAACCUAGCUCACAAUGUGAAAUAUAUUAAAACAGCAACCAUAAGAUUUUCAAACAUUUAAAUUAACGGUGAUGAUAUUUCCACCCCGUGAAUUUUAUAAAUCCACCCAUUUUUAAAAAAAUUAUUAUAAUCAGUUCACAUUAUUUUUUAAAAAUUUAAAUUAAGAAGAAAUUAAAAAAAUUGAUAUAGAAUUUAUAAUUUUAUAAAAUAAUGUAAACUUAUUGUAAUUAUUUUAUACAGGUGGACUGGGUUUAUAAAAAUAGCGGGGUGAAUAUACUUACACCCUUGAAUUAAUAGUUAGUAUAAAUUUUAGAUACCUCCCCUAAAAUUUGACUUUGCUACACUUAGAGAGAAUGUAAACAUAUAUUGACAAUGGAAAAUGCUACUUUUCUCGGGUCAAACUCCGAAUUAAAUUAAAACGACGCUGUUUUGAUUUCUUUUUUUUUCUUUCAUUCUCUCUAAAACGACGCCGUUUUAACUGGCCUCAAAUUGCUCUCUCUCUUCGUCACACAAAUCCUUUUUCUUUGUCUCUCUUCCCCUUCGUUUCAGCUUGGUUAAGGUAAAAUCAACAACAGCCCAAAUUGCUCUCUUUCUCUGUCGGUGGUGGUGCCUUCUGUACAUUUAUCCUGGUACACGUCCCCCAGACCACCACCCCGUUUCCUGUGUUUUUGUUCCAGAUCUCUUACAGCCUCCUCUAUAUUGGUAUUGUUUUCACCAAUAUCCUUACCAUUAAUACCAUGAGAAUCAUUGAAAAGCUCUUCUGUUCCCCAUCGUAGAAUAUCUUCCACUUCCUUUUGAGAUCCAGAUUUAUUGACAAAAAUAUGAUCAAGCAUUAAUUUCUUUUUUGCAAGCUGCAAGAUGCGCUCCUCAACACUGGCACCGACAACAAGCCUAUAUACUAAAAGUCUAUUUGAUUGUCCAAUUCGAUUUGCCUGAUUCAUGGCUUGAAUAUCAGCAUGCAGAUUAAAAUCAGAAUCAUAAAUUCAUCUGUGAAAAAAUAAGAACUCUGAAAAAAUAAGAGAGAACGAAGAGAAAGAGAGCAAUUUGCCUUAACCAAGCUGAAAACAAGGGUUAAAACGACGUCGUUUUAGCUUGAAUUAAAAAAAAAAGAUAUUGAAACGACGUCGUUUAUUGUUUUCGGGAUUUGACUCGGAAUUUGACCCGGGGUAGGGGUAAAUAGCAGAACUCAUUGAUAAUAUACCCCCUAGUCGUGUAUAAGAGUUAGGCACUGGUUAGGUAGUUGAGGGCAAUAACGUACAUGUUGCAUAUUUUUUUAUUUUUAAAUCUUACAAAAGCUGUUGUACUGUAACUAAUUAGACAAGAGCAGCGAAAAUGCAUACAGUGCUUUGAAGCUGGGGAAGCCCAAGGGGAUAGUAACCCAUUUUCAUUGUCAAUGCCUAGCUUCAUUUCUUCUUUUUCUCAGCAUAACUUGAUGAGUGCUUAGCUUCAUUUCGAAGGUCGUGACACCAACUGAUUUUAGCAAAAGCAGAGAUACUUUGUGAUGCAAUAAGCUAACAAGUUUCUGAAAUCAACUAUGUUUUGAACCAAAUUCCGGCGACGACCAGCAGCUGAAAAGCCGGUGAUUAAAGGGCAAUCUAGGUGCGUAAUUCUAUCAAAGCUUAAAAUUGAAGUUAGGUUUUAUUAUUUUCUUGCAUUUUGUUGAAAUUGCUGUUAGUUAGGUGCUUUAUUUUUAGUUCAAAUUAAUUGAGAAAAAUGUUUAGGGUUUAUAGAAAUUGAAGUAGUGACCGAAUAUAUCGGAAUUGAUUUUUGAGUUGAUAGUCACUCGACAUGUUGUGUAAACUAUGAAAAUGAUUUAUUUUUUGAUGAUUUUGGACUCUGGUUUUUGAAUGCCUGCUGAAAUUUGCUUGAUCUGUUAUUAAAAUUGAGAAAAAUCCAAUCUUUUUCUAAGAAUGCAGAGGUGUUGCUGAGAAAACGCUUAUGGUGUUGUUUUGUUUCUUUUUUUAUUUUACAAGUGUGCAGUUCAUGUAAGAUUGAGACAGUUGCUCUUGUUGCUUUUUGAUGUUUGUAUAGACUAAUUCCAAUCACUGAUUUUUGUUGGAAAAUGGAUGCUAUUAUUUUUCCUUUUCUUCGUGUAAAAAAUUGUACUUCCGUUCCCAACAUAAAAUUCAGAUGCUUGCCUAUUACUUUUUGAGGUUGUUAUUUAGGUGUAAGAGAUAUAUUAGUUAUAGAGCUUGUAGGCAGUUGGUUUAUUGAAGAACUAGUACAGUUGAGAAAGUGUCUUUUAGGUCAUCCAUUUUAAUACACAUAUUAACAGAUUUAAUUACAUAAACACAAGACUUCAUUUGUUUAUCAAAGUAGUACUUUCUGAUGCUUUCAUAUAAUGAAUGCCAAAGAGAUGUCAUUUGCAAAAAGGUCAUUUGCAAAAAGGCCAUUUGAAUGUACCAACUGCUAUCCUUGUAAACCUCUAUUGUGAUUCUGUUAUCAUUAUAUGUUGUUUAAUGAUCUGAUGAUUUCGAGAUAUCAAGAUGAGUUUAUUCAUACAAUAAAUGUUGUCAUUAGGUUCAUAAUUAUUGUAGUACAUGUUCAUUUAGCUACUUUAGGUACUGCUACAUGCAUUUAUUGUAUAAUGCCUACUUAGCAGCCAUAACUACACCCAUUGUUGAAGCCACAGCAGCACAAAUGAGAAAAAAAACAUGUUUAGGAACAACAUUGUCUUUAUAUCAUUUAAUUUUACUCCAUUUUGUUGUGCUUUUUGCAUCAGUGACUUCAAAUCCUUCCUAUCCUUUUGCAUACUCAUCAGCAGUUCAUAAUUUGCUUGACAUGUUCCUAAACCAUCAAAUAUAACACCUUGGUCGAUAUCAUAGCCACAACCAUUUUUUCUAUUCAUACAGCAAUAAUAUAGCUUGUUUGGGUUGUCAUCUGAUUCCGCUACCUUCAUAGCAGCUAUUUUGUAGCAUUUACUAAUCUUGUUUGAAAAUCAAAUGAAUUUAAAAUAUUCUCAUUUAUUGUUUUUUGUAGCGUUCACUAAUCUUCUGAUAUUCAGUAUUGUUUUUAUAUAAAUUAAUUUAAAAUAAUAUCAUUUAUUUGUCUUAUUAUAUGAUUUUAGACUAUCAAAUUAUUUGUUUUAAGGGGCAUUUUGGUCUUUUCAACACUCAAUUGAGUUUUGUCUUAUUAUAAGAUUAUGUAAUGUCAACAACAAUUAUCAUAAGGGUAUAAUAGCCUUUUGACCCCCCCCCCUCCAGGCGCCAAAAAAAAAAUCGCCCCAAAUAUAAAGAUCAUCUACAGUGUCAAAUAAUUUUGAAGGGCAUUAUUAUACAUUCACUCAACUACCUAACGGGUGCCUAACCUUCAUACAUGGCCGGGGGUAUGUUGUCAAUAUAUGGAUACAUUCUCUCUAAGUGUAGCAAAGCCAAACCUCAGGGGUGGUUUCUAAAAGUUUUCCUAAAUUGUUAAUAAUUUUAUACAACAGAUUCUUGGAUACCCCUCAAGUUCACUUAUUCUACGUCAUGGCUGACUUUCAAGAAAUUAAAUUCUACAUUAUGACCCCUAGGGAAACAACGUCGCUAAUAAAAUUAUAAAAUACAUGUGUGUAAUAGUAGUCAAACCUAAACCUAUGUCGUUUAGCAAUUUACAAAAUGAGAAAGACGACAAAAGCCAAGCGUUAGAGUGGCAGCGAGCCAACGAGACAAGCUCAAGUUCACAGUGUUUUUGUUGAACCUUCUGAAGACCCAAAACUCGAGGUUUGUUUUUACGUUCCCUAAUCGUUUGACUACAUUUUUAUUCUGUGCUACGUUCGUUAUGAACUGUUCAGGCUAAGUGUUCGACGAAAUUCCUAAGUGAGUAUAUAUAAUGGUUUGCUCUCGUAUUUAUUCUGUUAUAGAAUGUUUUGCUUUGGGUGGUUAAAUAGAGGAGAUUAGACAUUGAACUUUAUGCACUUGUAUGUUUUCAAGUAAUUGUUUGCUGAGGCACAUGUACUUUGAAUGGCUUCAUUCAUCUACAGAGAUAUCAUAACAUUUUUUGCUUAGUGUGAGUCUUAUUGUUGUUAAUUUGUCCAAAGUGAAGGCUUUUUUAACUUUUAUUUCUUUGAUUUAUUUAUUUAUUGUUUUGUCGAAGUUCUGUGUCUCAACUUUUAUUUGAUAAGUUCUUUCAGACUACUAAUUAGAAGAAAAAAAUGCUAGAGAGUGAGUAUGAGAGGGAAUGAUGUUUGGGCAAGGGGUGAUUGGUUCACUUGGCUCAUAAAGGACCUCAACUAUAAUGACAUGUAUCAAUUUCGCAGCCUAAUUGGAAGGUAAGCUCAUUUCUUGAUUUCCUUCAAUUUUCACUUUCAUUUUACUGUUUUCAAGUAGCAGGUAAUCUAAAUAAAAGUAAAAUCAGUAGUGAUUUGCUUCAAGUGCAUAUGGAUAGUAUAUCACAUGUGAGAAGAUUGUAUUUGUUAUAUGAAAAUCCUUAAUAACUUUAAUUAAAAAAUAUAUUCUCAAACCUGAUCGUGGAAUGUACUAUUUCUUAAUAUCUGAGUUUGGAUCAACACAUUUUUUGCCAUGCAAUUUGACAAGUUGUCAUGUCCUCAUAUUCUGCACUAUUAUAAGUUUUGCCAAUCUGCAUAGGUGUUUAAUAGAUUGAGUUAAUCUAGUUUCGAGAGCAUGCCUAACUAAAGGGCAUCAAGUUUCUAAGUGAGGGCAAGCACAACUAUAAUUAUCUAUUUCAUAUCCUCCCUAUCAGCGGGGCAGGUCUGUUACCUCUAAAUUCUUUCAAUAACUUGGGGACGUUAAUCCUAUUAAUGACAGCCACAUAUUAUAAGUCAAGAAAACUGAUUUUUUGAUUAUUGAAAAAAUCAAAUUUUUUGUAUUAUUCUAUUUAUGAUCUCAGUAACCUACAUGUUGCGAUUGUCUUGUAUGGAUCAUUGUUUCUCUUUUAAGCUGUUAUAGUGACAAUUUUUAGCUCUUAUUGCAGUUCUUAAAGUCAUUGCAAGCACAUGCUCUGUCGAUCUCCAUAAAUUCAGAUACAUAUGCAUAGUUAGCUAUUCAAAUAACCACACUGGUAUUUAACUUCGAUAUUCAGAAAUAUUGCUGAAGUGAAGCUUCAUGGGGCAUGGGCGAGUGCAUUUUGUUACAGAGUGAUAUGGGCUCUGAAAUUGAAAGGCAUAGCAUAUGAUUACAUUGAAGAAGAUCUCUCUAACAAAAGUGCUUUGCUUUUGAAGCAUAAUCCAGUUCACAAGAAGGUCCCAGUGCUUGUUCAUGACGAAAAAUCAGUUUGCGAGUCCAUUGUUAUCCUUGAAUACAUUGAGGAGAUGUGGCCACAGAAUCCCUUAAUGCCAAAUGAUCCUUAUGAUAGAGCUCUGGCUCAUUUUUGGAUUAUAUUUGCCUAAGAUAGAGUUUGCUUCAGAACUCUAGCUAAUGCGUUUAUAAGUUCAUUAUUUUCAUGUUUAUUUGUUAUUAGAGAAAAAGAUCAGUAUCCCUGAUUGUAUGUCAAAAUUAAUUAUUUGUUCUUUUAUGUUUUAAAACCUAUCAAAAUCUCCAUUGUCGUUCAAAAGAUUCUGUUAACCUUCAAUUUUUUUGUCUUUUACUAAUUUUACCUCUGGAAAAAUUUUUAUUAAUAGGAAGUUGAAAGUUUAAUAGAAUUUUUUUAACGGCAAGGGAAAUUUUGAUGGCUUUUGAAAUAUGAGGGAGAAAAGGAUUAAUUUACCAAAACAACAUUGUGGUUUUGUUGUUCAUUUACCCUUUGUCAUUCAAUGUAGUUGUUAACCUCUAGUAUAAGGGUGCUUGACAAAUGACAAGGAUAUGUAUUGUCCAAGUCUUUUAGUUCAUACAUAUUAUUAAUCAUGUGGUGAUAUUUUGGCAGGGAGCUACUGUUUGGAAAAUGUUUCGUAGCGUACAAGAUCAAGAGAAUACAAUGAAAGAAAUCUUGGAAAUGCUAAAAACCGUUGAAGAACAUGGCUUAGGAGAGAAGAAAUUUUUUCAUGGAGACAAGAUUGGCUUAGUGGACAUAGCAUUUGCUUCCUUUGUUUAUUGGUUGCAAAUCAUUGAAGAUGUAGCAGGAGUGAAACUAUUUGAAUCUCACAAAUUCACUCGCUUGCACGCAUGGUUUGAAAAAUUUAAACGAGUCCCAGAAAUUGAAGAGAACCUUCCUAAUUGGGGUGAACUAUUGGUUUUUUUCAAACGUCGCCGUGAAAAGUUGGUGGCCUCUUCCUCAUUGCAUUAGCACAAAAUUCGUGCAAUUGUAUUGUUGUCAAGAGGCCGCUCUUUGCUUAGUUUUUGAUUAUCUUGUGUGCUCAAUUGGGAGGCCGCCGCUUUGCUGGGUACUUUCGUAUGGAUUUGAGUAAUAAGGGGGACUUGACUUUAUAUUUAUGAAUUAUUGCAUGUAUUUCGUUAAUUAUUAAUGGACUACUAACGGUUAUGUAUUGUUUGGGAGGAAGUUUAAAUGCUGAUAUAUACUAAUGACUUGAAGAAAAGUCAACUUAUUUGAAGUAAUAUAACUCUAAAAAAUCAGAAGAAAAACUCUUUGUGGAAAAAGAUAGUUCUGGUAAACAUGCCCAGCAUUAAAGGGUAUUAUCGAAACUUAAAUGUGAAUGGUUAGAGCCAACAUGUGAACAGUACACCAUUAUGAAAAGAAUAAUUUUUUUUUCGCUAAGAAUAACGAGCCAAUAGGACUUUAGUGAUUUUUUUUAGAUCUAAUUUCUUGAGAGACUUCUUCAUCUUCUUCUUCCUUUAUGGUUGGGGUUUCUUUCUCCAUUUUAACACCACCAUGGUAAAUUUUAACCAUCUAUCUCCCAAAGAAGCCUUUUCCCUUACUCUUCUCCUGGAAAACUCUCAAAUCUCUAUAAAACUCGUAUCUCCCUCAUGUCAUUAUUCCUCAUAAACAACCUUUAAUAAAGUUUUGUCGAUAUUAUAAUGCAAAUUAUGUAAUACUUCAUUUAUAUAGUGGAUUGGAGAUGAGUUACUCUUAUGGAUGUAGAUCAAAGGGCCGAACAAUGUAAAAUCUUAUGUGUUCUCUAUUGUUUAUGCUUAUUUUCUAUUUAUUAGGAUGAUGAUAAUACUCAAAUCGUAUUCCAUACAUGAGCUCAUAUAGAGGCAUAGCACGAGCUCUACUGAGCUCCCCAAAUAAGCUCUAUAGUUAAAGCUAUCCUCGAAUUCGCUAGAGCUACUUCCUAAACUCUCUUGAGCUCCCCAAAUCAACUCUUUAAACUAAAUCCCAUGAGCUCCAUAGAGCUUACCUCCCAAAACACUUCAAUUUACCUCAGUUCACCUUCCAGAUCACCACUACUAGAAAAAUAAGCUUUACUGAUACUAAUUUAGUGUCAGUAAUUACUUUUCCUGACACUUAUUAAUUGUGUCAAUGAUGCUCAAGCCAGAACACACUGACACUAAUUUUUAGUGUCAGUGAUUAUUGUGUUAGUAAUUAGCGUCAUUAUAGUAUCACUUAAAUAAUGACACGAUGGUGUUAGUAUUUGAUGAUAUUAUUUAUACGUCAGUGAUUUAUGUGACUAUAGUAUCAAGAGCACACUGAUUCAAUAACAUCAAAAGUUAUUAUUGUCAUUUUAAAUAUUUAGUGUUAAUAUUUAAUGAUAUUAUGCUACUUUUGGUUAAUAGUAUAUUUUUAUUUUUAUUUUUAUUUUCCUGAUUGUUUUACAAUCAAAAUAAAACUCAAAAUAUAUUAAAUAUACCAAAUCUCACAACACAAUUCAUAUAAUAAACAUCCCAAUACAUCACUUACAUUAAUAUAAUUUAACUACAUCAUUGUCUGGAAAAGAAAAAUAUAAGUACCAAAUUGAGUUUCGACCAGUUCUAAACAAUAGAAUACAAAAUUAAGUUUCAUCAAACAUUAACCUACAAAAUUAAGCAGAAGAAUGUCACUGAAUAUCCACACAUGGCUUCAUUUUUUUCCCACCUACAAGUACAUAAAAUCAAUUAGUACACCUCAAAAAAUAAGUCUUGGAUAUUUGGAAACAAUAUAUAAAGUGCAACCAUUUUUCCAGUACACUAAUAUUAAUUUGAAAUAUUUUUGUUUUUCGAAAAUUACAUGGCAUGCUUAUCUAAUGAAAACCUUAUAAAUUAACAAUGAACAUAUGUAUUAAUUUGAAAGCAUUCAACUUACAAGUAAUCCUGAUCAAUCUUAAAUUGUUGGAAUGUCCUCUAGUUGACCAGCAACUGAUGCUCCACCUAUAAAUUAGAGAGACAUUUAUAAGAAACUGUGGCAAUCUUAAACAAAGAAAUGUAAAUUUCAAAACUGUGUAUAAAGAAAAUCACAUAAAUCUAGUAGUGCAUUCCGCAUAUUACAUGAUCAUCCGGAAGCUGGUUCUGCCCAAUCAAAUGUUCAUCACUUAAUUAAUCUAGAGAAACCAAAAUUAAAAAUUAAAAAAUAAAAAUCUAGCUACCACUUUUCCAAUCACUAUUAUUAACCUCUCUUAAAACGUAAGCGAGUAACAAGCAGUAGAAGAUGGACGAGUAAAAUUAGAUAUUUAGAAGGUUUAUAAUUAAGCACUUAUAAUAAUAAUUCAGACAAAAUCCCAAAAUUGAAACAAAAGAAGCUUUGAAAUUAAAACAAGAGAGGAACAAGUUAGAUGAGCCAUAAUGACUUUUUAAUUAGCCAAGCUAAUUCAUAAGUUAAGUAACUAAUAAAAAUUAAGACUUAAAUUAAAAAUGUCUUCAUUUUGUUUAAUUAUCGUAUAAUUUUUUUUUUCUCAUGUCUAAAGCAUAUUUAGAGGGAGAGCUCAAUUUUACAACCUACUUAUGAAUUAAAUUUUAUCCACACAAAAGGGGGAAAAAACACCAAGCUAAAGUUUUAAUUAAAAGAAUAGUGAAAGCAGAAAGCAACGUGAUUAAUUAAGAAUUUCAUUUAAUUUUACUCACAAAUUGAUGUGUUAUAUAUCUCUAUGUGUGUGUGAGUGUGCGCACGCGCAUACAUAAAAGACCAUGCAUUACAGAGUUAGUUUUUUUACUAGUACUGUUGACGAGGGAACAAAUCUCUUUUAUCAUGGAUAAUGUGUAGAGAGAUGAGAGAGUAGUGUUGUGUUAUAAAUAUUAAUUGUCAAACAAAAUAUUAUUUCUUAAGAGAUCUGACUUUCUCAACAAAGUGCUCAAAAACCAAUAAUUGUCAAGGAACACGUUGACCGUUGAUAAGGCUUUUAACUAGAUGCCUUAAGCAACAACUUUAAUAAAUAUUACUUUUUCAGAUUUCAAUAAGUUGUAGUUGGCAAAAAAAAAUAUAACAUUUAAUCAUUAAAUAUUAUCCAAGUCCAACCCAACAAAAUAAAAUCAAGGAGCAUUAACAGAGGUCAACUAGCUCCCACCGCCCUGGGCAUAUUUUUUACAGUUUCUUGUGAUUAUACUUGUUACAACUACCAUGUCAUAGUUAUUGAAGAGAUAACUUUAGAUUCGGAAGGAGAGGGGAAAAAAGUCAAAAUUAGACCACAAAGAAGAUAGUUCUCAGAGGAAAUUAAAAAGGAAUUAUAAGACUCAUAUUAUGUAAAUGAGCGGCCUACAACACGUCAGAGUUGCAAAAUACUAAAAAGCUUGCAAUAAGGACCCAAAAAAGAGAGAGAGCGAGAGAGAUAUAAAAUUAGCAUCUCUAAACAAAAUGUUGAAUAAUAGUUUGAGAAAUAUUUCUUUCUCCUACUUUUCCAUAGUGAUGGGACUGAGAAUUAAGAUCAAGUAAAGAAAAUUAGGCAUAAUUAUUGUAAAAAAAAUAAAAGACCAUCAAAACAUAGCAGACAUACAGAGAUCACCAACAGCAAGCAUGGAUAUGAAAUUAAAACAACUAAACAAAAAGUUAAUUAUUUUAGUAAGUAGACUGAACUAACCAUAUGAUUCUUGCCACUAUAAUAACCAUAAGAACCUGACAGUCAUGAACACCAAAGCUUGUGAUUUUCUCUAGCCAGGAGCCCACCUGCACUGAAGUCCAUAGGUACAACAAUAUCCAAAAUAAUAAUAAAAGCCAUGAUGGAGUUUUAAAAAGUUCAUAAUUCGGUUUUAGAACAAUUGAUGGAUAAACUUAAAAAUUUGAAGUACACCAGUCAGUUUGAAGUACUUCAUACAACUUUCAUAUAUAAAAUAUAAAUGUGAAAUAACAUGUUCACAGUGGAGACCAGUCAGCUGCUGGAGAAACUAUUGCCUUGCUUUACAUAUACAGAGCAUCCCAUGCUCAUUAUCAUGGAAUGGUGUCCUAUUGUCUACUACUCAAAUUAUGGACUAUUACACAAGUACCGAUCAAAGCUUUUGUUCUCAAUCUUAAAACAUAUCACAUAAAGUUCAAACAAAAAAAGGGCCAACUCCUAACACAAUCCACCAAUAAACUCCCCUUUAAACUUCCAUCGUACUAUGGAAUGACAAAUUGUUGCAAACUCCAAAAUAAAAAGGCUCAACAGAGAACAAAAACAAGAACUUAUUAAUCAGGCAGCUAAGCUAAAACAUAUCCAAUUUCCAUAAGCCCACAUAGGAUCCUCGUUUAUAAAAUAAACCCCAUUUCGCUUAAAGCCACAAGACUUAAACAAUAAUUUAAAUCAAUACGUAAAGAAAAGUGCGACCUUCCAAAUAAACAUGAAUUUCUCAACAUCGUCAACAGCCCAGAAAAUUAAAAUUACAAAAAAUAAUCAUAAGCUAAAAUAAAACAAACCCAGUAAUUAAAUUGACAAAAAAAUAUUAAGCCAUUACCAAUUGUUAAAAUAAACCUCUCUGCCUUUAAAGUCGUUGAAAUCCUCCUCUACAAUUCUAGGCAUAGGCGAACCUUCUAUAGCAAACAAAUUAACUAACUUCUCAACAAUUAUCUCAAAUUCAAGCAAAUGGGUUUCGAGUAGCGAACAAAAAAAGUGAAAUUUGAGCAGGAAAAUAAAAAAACUCUGAUGAAAGAAGCCUCAAUUAGGGUUUCGCUUUGUUUUUCGAUUUGGGGAAAAAAAGAAAAAGGAAAGAGAAGCCUCAAUUAGGGUUUCACUUUGUUUUCGAUUUGGGGAAAAAAGGAAAAAGGAAAGAGAAGCCUCAAUUAGGGUUUCACUUUGUUUUUCGAUAUGGGGAAAAAAGAAAAGAGAAGCCUCAAUUAGGGUUUAGCUUUUCAUUAUCUGUCUGAAUUAAUUGAAUUGAGUUUGCAAAUGGACAACUGGAAACAAAAGAGAUCGAGAAGAGAAAAAGGAAAAAGAGAAGGAGAAAGCAAGAUAGUGAUAGGGUUUGGUUCAAAUAUUUGCGUCCAGAAACGAAAUAAAGUUUCCAAGUCUGGGUUAUAUUUUGCUUUUGUUAUUUUAAUUUUGUUUUUUAAUUUAUUGCUGCUAUUAUAUCUUAAUUCUACAAGGUCCAAUGGUGUAUUGUCCAUAUGUUAAAGCUUUGAAUUUUAAAAGUCCUAGGUUCGAGUUGGAGUUAAAGCAAAUUUUAAUGAUUUUUUUUUAAUCUUUAAUGCUUCAAUGUCAGUGAUCACUGAUGUUUAAUUUACUGACACAUCAGUAUCAAUAAUUUAUGAUACCUAUUUCUUAAAAGCGGAAAAUGGUGCAUAUGUACACAAUUACUGACACUUUUUACAAAGUGUCAGUAGCUAAGUGUCAGUAAAAGUCAUUUUUGUAGUAGUGCACCUUAGUUAUUUCUUUUGUCCUUAACAGCAGAAAAACACACCUAGAUUUUUACUAGCUCAAUCUCCCCUCAAAUAUAAAUUUAUUUAUUUAAAUUAUAUUUAACCUUGUUCAGGUGAGGACAACCACUAAAUGAUUCAAAUCAGAUCCUAGAGAAAAUCCGGUCAAAACAUGUAUCUAUGUAUAAUAUUUAACAUCACCCUAACAAUCAAUACGAAUGCACUUGGAUUUAUUCUUAAUAGUACACAAAGUGGAAAAAGCAUGACAAGCAACACUCGCACACUCGAGGCUCAAUAUAAGUACGAACGUCAUAAUUCCAAGCAACAAACAAUGACCAUCAUUACUAAUUUUUUCUGAAAGCCACCAAAUUGGAAAAGUACUGCCAAGUAAUUAAUUAACGACUGCGACUUGCCAGAUUAAGCUUAUCCAAUGCUGAGAGUUCAUUAUUCUUCGAGGUUUGGUUAUUGUAAAUGUCUUUUAGAGUAAUUGCAGGAUAGAGCGGAGGAUUUUCUUCUGAUAGCAACUCUUUAAUUGGACCAUAUCGUCUCGAGCAACUAUUAUUCAUGAAAAAACUUCCGAUUGAAAUUCUGGAGUCUUCCUUAUUUGAUAACACUCUAUGAUAGGCACUCUUGAACUUAUCGUUGGUAAUCAGCUGCAUAAACACGAACACGUUGGUAAUCAGCUGGAUAAACACACACUUCAUAUAAACCAUAAUUAAGUUAUCUGAUAGAGAUUCAUGCUCGGGUGUAGACGUUCACAUAAUUUUGUAAGGACGAUUCUUUCACAGUAUUGUGAAAGAAUUGUGUCCGCACAAGAUUUAGUGCGAACGUCCCACUUGAGAAUUUUCAAUUUGAUGGAUAGUAUUUCUUAAUAAGCUAUCUAACACACACUUGCCUGCAUCAUGUAGCCUAAGUUUACAACUAGAGUUCCCGGAACAGGGGCAAUGUCAAACCAUUGAUCUUCGUGAAAGACUUGGAGGCCACCAAUUUGAUCUUGUAUGAGCACAGUGACAAAUCCAGGGUCAGAAUGUGUUGCUAUGCCGAUGGACAAUUAUGGUUGAGGGCAUUCAGGGUAGUAACCAUUCCCAAUAGUCAUUUCCUCUACACAACCUAUGUCUUUCAGGUAAUUGGGGUCAAGCCCUAAAGCUUCGGAUAGAAGUUCAAACAGUGUCCCCUGUUUUCCACAUUAGGUUGUUGUAUGCGAUCAUUAUCUCUCUGCAAAUUACUAAAGACAAAAAAUAAUCACUACUAAAAGAAAGGGAGAAUGACAUUUCGACUUUUAGAAAUUAUUUUUUUAUUGGGGUAACAACUAGAUGAAAUGAGAGUAAUAAAAACUUAUUAGGAACCCAAGUGAUGCAAAAAGUUCUAAGAAAGAGGCAGGUGUUAUCCACUGUAAAAGAAAUAAAAUCUAUUGGUCAUCGUCCACAUACCUGCAAGCUUCAGGAAAAUCUUCAGGAUUUGAAAAAUCGCGACCCACAACACAACUCAAAUUAUCUUUCCAAAAGAGGGUUGGUGCACUAUACAAAUUUAAAUUUGAACAAUAUUUAAUUUUUUUGGAGUAAUCACGAGAAUAAUAUUUCUGCUUAACCUCAACAUCUUGUUGAAAAAACCAAUGGAUCCCAUCAAUGGCAUGAUCCAAAUGCUUGUUGGGAUUCCAUGAUUGAUCACUUGAAAGAAACCCCACUUCUCACGAGCACUUCUAAUUUGGUCAAUUACCUGAGAACGCAAACUUGAAUCCCUGUGUAUUCUUUUAAGGUCUAUGAUAGGGAUGCUGAUUUUGGGGUCCCUGCAGAUUGGCUUAUCAUCAAACUUAUGUUUAGUGUGAUGAUCUUGAAUGAUGAUCUGUGGAAUGGUUGUGAUCCCAGCAUCUACGAGUCCCUUAACACCAGCUUUCGUGUCAUCAAAAGCUUUCCACUCGCUAACUCUGUCACAAGUAAUGCUUCCCAUUGCUUGGUGAAUUGUCUUUUACCUGGUGAAUUAUGAAGUACAAAUGCUGACUUGCGGGUGAUUGCUUUUGGUAUAUGCCGUUUAUAUGAAUAUGAUUCCUAGCUUGCCACGUGCAACAUGUUGAAAUAUAACGAUAGCAUGAAGAUGUGGAAAUUUGUAAAAUUUGAUCCUGCGUUAUUUAUCAUGAUUAAAUUAAUUAUAAAUUAUCAAUAAUAGUCAAUUCCGGGGACCACCAACUACUGGGUGGCACAUCACAAUAAUAAAUUAUCAAUAAUAGUCAAUUCUGCAUUAUUUAAUAUUUAUGUGGAUAAAAUUUCAAUUAGCUACACUACAUUGUUGUUUGAUAGUUAACGUUUCACCUUCUCCAUUUGUAAAUAUUAUUAUGGACUUAUAGUGUGGCUUAAAAGCUAGAUCUUAAAUGAAAAGAAAGCUUUAAUGGUGAAAUAAAAAUUUAAAUAAAUGAUAAAGGGAUUAAAGGUUAACCUAAUGUUAACAAAAAUAACUGCAAAAUAUACAUGUUUUAUCAUGUUAAUUGAUGUUUUUCCAUUAUGCACAUAAAAAAGAUCUAUUUUACAAUUGUUUCUGUUGGCGUUGGGGCAGAUUUUUUUUUAGUCUAAUUAAGUAUAUCAUAAGUUAAUAAUAGUGCGUAUUUUAACUUUAAUAAAUUUGGCCACUUAGAUUUUUAAUUUUGACUCCUUCCCUAAUCAAUCAAGAAAAAGAAUGCUUUUCUCCAUAAAAAUUAAAAUAGAAAAUUCAGCAAGGACAUAACUGCGGAGAUGUUUGAUCCUGGAUUUAUAUAUCAAAGCAACAUCAAAAUUAUAAUAAUACUUCCUUGUUACCGAGAAGAGAUAUAUUCAAGAGCACUAGCCUUAUAAAGCCUUAACAAUACUAAACUACCUACAUGGAAUCUAAUGCGUACAUGCAAUGCUUUCUAAAGUGAAACUGUCGCUUGAAAAUAGAAUUCAUGUUCAGCAGCCUCCCUCUAUCCGAGCUCCAAUUUUAUAACAAGGAAGCUAAAUAAGAUGAUUUAGAUGGCAUCGGCAUCUGUAGUAUCGUUUGUCUGUAGUCCCUCAUUAUCUACGAUCUGAUCGCUCCCUAUAGUAUUGUUUGUCUGUAGUCCCUCAUUAUCUACGCUCUGAUCACUCCCUAUGUAGAGGAUCGACAAGAGAAAAUUGUAGCACACGUUCACAGCACUAAUAACUGUUAAACUCUUAUAGUACUUGUCAAUCCUACUAUAAUCCAAGGUUUCAGCAAACUCGCCUUUGUUUGCCAAAAUGAAAAAGAUGUUAAAAAUGCUUCCAAUUCCGACGAAAAAAUAACUUAUUGCUGAUCCAUGGUACUCCAUCCGUUCAGGAAAAUGAGAGCUCGAGUAUUCAUCACAUCCAUACCAAGCAAGCCCUUCCAUAAGACCUAAUAGACAGAAUUGUGGAACAAGCCAAAACAUGCUCAUAUUUUCCAAUUGUUUGAGCUUUUCCAACCUGCGAACCUCAACCUGCCAUGCCACUACACAGCAAACUGUAGUCAUCACCAUUCCAAUGAAUGUUCUCAACACUUGAGCUUGUCUCUUUUUAGUUUUUGGAACAAAAUUGGAAAUUAAAUUUUUUGACAGAUAAGAGAUCGUUGCACGAAUUAUCCCUUUAAAAGUUCGUAGAAAGAUUAAGUAUCUUUCAGAAAUCAUGUUGGCUCCCUGCUCAGGAAAAAAUGUAUUUCCUGCUGACAGAACCAAUCCAAACACAAUGAAGCUAGACCACAAUGGCAACAAUUUAAGAAGAGAUUUUGACUCCCUGACCUGGGCCACAGUGCAAAGUGUGCCUGCCUCUUCUUGUUCGUUAGAAGUACUUGAUGUCUCUAUAAUUGCCGCUUUGUCUAUCCAUCUGCAAUUCAAAGAAUUAAUUUAUUGGUAAUUUUUUAGGAAAAUAGAAAGCGACAGCUCAUGGUUUGGCAAAAUGAUCACACAGACGCGUUUAUGAAUACGCCCUUUUGGACAAAUCUUGGAGGUCGGUGUGACUAUUCCCGAACACAAAAGGGUAUUAAUGUGUCCAUAAAGAGGUUUAUAUAAUUAUUAAUAAAAAUAAGAGGGUCUCCCCGACAAUUUUGCCAGACCACGGGCCGGGUGUGGGUGUAUACAUGUUAGGCAUAUACCUGAGUAAUUUGAUUCUGGGUGACAAGUGUAAUACGUUUCCCUCAUCAUUACUGAAGAACAGCUCCGGAGAAAGAGGAUAAUUGAGAUGCUUUUUCUUCAGGGAGGUUUUAAUAACGCGGAUUAUAGCAAAACGGUCAAUAGGAGGUAUUUGUCUACUAUGAUAAAAGGGAAUACCCGACAACAAGAGGAUCAAACUGCCCCCCAUAAACAACAAUGUGAACAUGAAAGUCUUCUUCCAUGUCUUAAUAUUAUUUGCAUAGAAUGCCGCAGCUGCACCACAGCACCAGGCAAACCGCCACCACACUCUUUUCUGAGCCAUUACUUGAUCCUCAUUUGAAUUUUCUGUUCUCCCUCCUUUACCAUGUUCUCUUAAUUGAUCGGCAAGAAAUGGUCCCAAAAGAGGCGCCGCUCCAACUUCACCCACUGCUAACAGGAUAAUUCCUAUCAUGUUGAGUAGCUCAAAGUUGGUUUCUGAAAAUUCUCUGGACGCUGUACAGAACAAUAGCCCCAAUGCCUGAAACGAAAAUUGUUGGAACUAAUUCUAUAGCAUGACAUUAUGAUCCUAGAAAUGCUUUUCUUAAUCAUUAUUAUAAUCAAAGUGGAGCCAAAAUGAAUUAAUGUCACAUCAAUUGUAAUUUAACUAUUGAGAUCUCUAGCAUUAUUUUUAUAAGGGUAAAGCUCCUAAUAUCCUCUUAUUAGGUAUGUGUGUGUAUAUAUAUAUAUAUAUAUAUAUAUAUAUUUUUUUUUUUACAUGCUGUGAAAUUUAACAUUUACUGCAAAAUAAUAAAUUUUUAAUUCAGCUCAAAGUACUAUAAAGUCCUGGGUCCGCCCCUGAAUAUAUAUAUUGCUUGCAAUGAUAGACAUAUGUUUUAAUUUCGUCUCUGUUUAGAAGUUUAGCAAAUUCAAAACAUAUUAACUUACAAGGAUGUAGGAGACAGUUGAAAAAAUGAGGAUUCUGAGAGGACGAAUGGCAUAACACGAAAUCCAGGCGGCAACAAUCGUAAGAGUUGCUAAUAUUACAUCCUGAACACUCGUAAAUAUUGCAGCUUUCUGAAGUGUGAAUACUUUUGAAUAUUCGGAGUCGGAGAAGUAAGUUAUCAAGACGCCCACUAUAGCCAAGUCUACGAGUUUGCGGCUUAUCAACAAACCUGGAAUCAAAAUAAUCAUUAGAAAAAAUGUUCGUGCUCACUAAAAAAAGCUUACACAUGAGGACUGCAAGAACAACGUGAGAGAACUAUUGUCAUGUUUUUAUAAUUUAGCCCAACCUAAUCAAAGAUCUUAAGUACACCUCUCUUAACUGAAAUUAUUCUAGGGGAUUAUCUAUUUAGGAAUCUCAAAGUUCAUGAGCUCUUAAUACAUACACACAUACAUAUACAUACAUACAUCAUCAUGUUGUUAAAGUAAUGAUGUUAGUAAAAUACAAAAAAAAUAUAUGUACAUGUAUUAAAUUGUAUGGUUUAACAGUAUUAGUACAAAUAAAUAAAUUACAUGAUUUUGUAGUGCAUUGAAAAUUAAUUCUAUUAAACUAUACAAUUUACUAGUGUGUCUCCAUUAAAAAAAAUAAAGACCCUCAUAUAUAUAUAUAUAUAUAUAUGUAUACAAGUUUAUGUUCUGAAUAAAUACAUUUUUAAAAGAUAGGAUUACCUAAGGCCCCACAUGCAAAAUUACCUGACAGAAAUGCAGCAGCCUUACAAAAGCAGACGUAAUAUCGUACCCAAGUUAUGAACCUGUUUUGAAGCUUCAACAGCUGAGAAAAUGGAAACAUUGUAGUUUCUGAAACUGCUUUUAUCUGCAAAGACUUCUACUUGUGAGUUGUGAAUCCCGAGACGAUGAAGAUUUUGUAAUUAUGCCAAAGUCUUUUAGGUAGUUUAUUCAAAUUAAAAAAUAAUAAGUCGCACUUCAAGACCACCUAUUGGUCACAUCAAGACCACCAUUUGGUCACAUAAGUCUUCUUUUUUUUCUUGUGACUUUCAUCCAGCUACGGUCCAACAGGUGCACCGUGCCCCUCUUUUUGACAGCACCCCUUACUUUCUUCUGUAUUUAUAGUUUAUUAAAGUAAUUUCUUUUUCCUCUUUCUUUCACCCCUCACCUUUACAAUCUUCCAAUUUUUUCCAUUUUCAAUUAAACCUGUAAUCAACCAAUUGCAAGCAAUAAGAAAAAAGUUGGCAAGCUAUUUGCUCUAUAAUACACAAGUAAUUAGGGGUGGGCAAAAUAUCCGACCUGAUCCGACUCGAAAAAUUUUAGAUUCGAAUCGGAUCGGGUUGUUAAUAUAACCCGAUCGGAUGAAAUAUUGCAAACCCGAUCGGGUUGUGAUCGGAUCGGAUAAAACCCGAUCCGAUCCAAAAACCUGAUCGGGUUGCUAAAAAAAAAAAAAAAAAUCUAUGGCCAAACACACACACACGGCACACAGCACACCACACAUAAUCACACAAAUCAGUGAAAUCAAAUACUCAAAAGGUUACACUUUACAGUUUACACAAACACAAAACACACAAAAACAAAAAAAUCACAACACCCAACCCGUGAACCCACCCUCAAGAAGCAAGAAAACAUUCUCUCCUUCCCGCAAUCUGCUGCUGCCGUGUUGCGAGUCCGGCCAUCUGCUGCUGCGUCAGCGAUCUGCUGUUGCCGUGCUGUUGUCAUGCUGCUGCCGUGUUGCGUCCAGCCAUCUACUGUUGCGUCCACGAUCUGCUGCCGCCGUGCUGCGUCCACGAUCUGCUGCCGCCGUGCUGCGUCCAGCCAUCGCGAGGAAACUGCUGCGCGUCCAGCCAUGCGCAAGCUGCUGCUGCACGCCCACCGAUCUGCUGCCGAAAACCCAGCCGCCGAUCUGCUGCUCCAAGGCUCAAGCUCCAACCCGACCCGAGUUUCUCCCUUAGUCCCUUAUGUGUUUUGAAUUUUGAAGCUUUCAUGGUGUAUUGGUAUAUAUGUUUUGAAUUGACCCGUUUAAUUUGACCCGAAUUGGUUUAAUUUGACCCGAAUUUAAUAUGAUCCAUUUUUUAUUCGAACCGAUUCAACCCGAAUUCAACCCGAUUUUUGACCUGAUCCGAAUAUAUAUCGGAUCGGAUCGGGUCGGGUUGUAAGUUCGGGUUGUAUUCGGAUCAAUGUUUGCACAACCCGAAUAACUCGAAACCCGAUCGGGUUGACCCGAACCUGACCCGAACCCGAUUUUGCCCACCCCUACAAGUAAUAAUGAAUUGAAGUUUUUAUAUAAAAAAAUUACAUAGAUGUAAUUUUUUUACGCACACUAUUUAUCAUCUACAAUGAAAUUAACAUGUAAGUAAAUUGCUUUUUUUAUCUUUUAUUAUAUGUAUUCUUCCCCUUUCUCCCCCGUAUGUCUUUUCAUUUUCUCUUUGAAUAAUCUAACCUAAGGCUUUCUAAUAAUUGGUUUAUUGUUAUUAUUUUUAUAAGUAAACCUUCUCUUUGUUAUGUCAAUAGGUUUAUUUAAAAAAAAAAAAUUCGUAAAUGACCAAAAGUGAGAACCUUAAUAAAAAUUCAAAACCUAUCUUAGUUUUUGUUGUCUUUGUUAAUGCAUCUUGCAUGUUUGAUGUCUUAAUUAUAACUUGUGAGAGUAAGUACUGUAAUACAAUGAUGAUUAAUGAUUAUUACUAAGAGUAUUCAGAGAAAAAGAAGUUGGUGUAAAAUUUUAUAAACUUUGAGUUUUCUAAAUUUUCACUAAACAAUAGGGAUUGCAUUAUUAAUAACUAAAUAAACACAUCCAUAACCUUGAAACUACAUUUGUGUAAGUUCUUUCUCUUUGUAAUGGUUACGAAGACUGACAAUUUUCUAUUGAAGUUAUUUAUACAUGUAAUUCUUUUUCAGCAUGUAAUACAUUUAGGAAAUGAGUAAUGAUUAAGUACAAACACUUUUAGAUAAACAAUGUUGUACGAACUUAUGUGAUAUUUUUUAGAAAAAAGGAUCUGAACAUCCUUAAGAUUUUAAAAAAUGGUCAUUUAUACUUUGAGUUUUCAAUACAGAACAUCAAGACACUUUUUGACUAUAGUAUUCUUAAUAGAUAAUAACAAAAAAUAUUGAAUUUAAACAUUUUAAUAAAUAUAAAUAAAAUUUAAAUAGUUUAAUAUGUCUAGUAGACUAAUAAUAUUAGAAAUUUCUAGUAGACUAAUAAUAUUAGAACAUUUCUUAAUAUGUAAAUAAUUUUUAAAAGAUAAAUUAGUAUAUUUAUUUUAAUAAUAUAUUUUUACUUAUUAUAAAAAUUGUAAAUAAAUCUUUAGGUUAGAUAGAUUUUAAAUUUAAUAAAAUAAAUGUCAUGUACUAAUAAUAUUAAAACUAUUUUAUAUAAUAUUGAAAAUAAUUUAAAUUUUAAAUUUUAAUAUUAUCUUUCGAUUUAUUUUGAAAUUUAGUUUAAUAUAAUUUAAUGUUGUAAAGUAUUAAAAUAUUUUAAAAAUAUUGAAAUUAUUUUAAAAUGUAUAUAUUGUUACAUUUAUUUUAAUAUUAUACUUCUAUUUAUUAUAAAAUAUUAAAAAUAAUAUUUUAAUUAAAAGGGAGUUUUGGUGUCUCUUACUGAAAAAUAGAGUGUACAUAAUCAUUUUUUCAAAUUUUCAAGGGUGUACAUGUCAUUUUUCUUACUUUUUUAUAAUCAAUUGAAUAAAAAAAAAGUCAUUUGGCCACAUAAAUUAUUUCUAAUUUAUAUUUUCAAUCAACAAAUCAUAAUGUGUCAUAUCUAUUUGUAUAAGUAUUUAUGAACAUAAAAAAUUAAGUUUAGGCACUAGUCGGGUUGGAAAUCAACUCAUCCAAACCCAUGUAUAGUGCUAGUUGGGUGAGUUGGACUUAUCUCGAAGACCCAUUUUCUGUCUUUGAAAUAUCAAUAUGAAAUUAAAAUAAUUAAAAAAUAAUUUAAUUGAAACAACUAAAGAUAGAAUACAAAAUUACAAAUAAUAACUAUCCCUGAAACUUCAUUGUUAAUAAAAAUAAUUAUUUGUAUAGGAUCCUAAUUACACCAUAAAAAGUAAUAGGAUGAAUUCAAGAGUUGGGUUUGAAAAUUUUCAACACCUAGUAAAUAUAGUGCAUUUUCUCCACCCCUAUGAAAUUAGGGGUUGGCUUUCUACUUGAUUUUAAGUAGCGAAAAUGAUCAAAACUACCUUAUUGUUUGUUGAAACUAUAGGGUGAAUUUAAGAGUUGGGUUUGAAAGAUGCAAUAUGCUCAUAUGUAUAUAUGAACAUAUUGCAUCUUCACUAUCUUAUCCCCAGAAUUUUUGCACCAAAUCGUGGUAUAAGAAUAAAAAUUCGCAACUCGAAUCAACAAAGUAUAUCACUAAGUUAUUCUGCAAGCCGCCAAAUUGGAAAAUGUCCCAAAUAAUUAAUUAACCACAGCGACUUGAUAGCUUAACUUUUUCCAACGCUGAGAGUCCUUCAUUCUUCCCUAUUGAGGAUUGGUUAUUGUAAACGUCUGUUGGAGUAACAUGGGGAUAGUGCGGAUGAUUUUUUUCGGAUAGCAACUAUUUAAUUGGACCAUAUUGUCUCGAGCAACUGUUAUUCAUAUAAAAAACUUCCAAUUGAAAUCGUUGAGCCUCGCCUUCUUGACAACACUCUGUGAUAGGCACUCUUGAACGCGACACUGGUAAUCAGCUGCAUAAACAUAUAAAAGAACACUAUAAUUAAGUUAUAUGAUGGAUUCAUAAUAGUCAAAGUUGUGCAUAACAUCUACUUGCCUGCAUCAUGUAGCCUAAGUUUACAACUAGAGCCCCGGAAACUGGGGUAAUAUCAAACCAUUGAUCUUCACAAAAGACUUGGAGGCCACAAUUCGAUCUUGUAUGAGCAUAGUGACAAAUCCAGGGUCAGAACGUAUUGUUACGCCAAUUGUCAAUUUCGGAUGAGGGCUUUCUGGGUAGUGACUAUUCCUAAUAGUCAUUUCCUCUACAGAACCUGUGUCUUUCAGGUAACUGGGGCCAAACCCUAAAGCUUCAGACAAAAUUUCAAACAGAGUGAAUUAGCAAUUGACGUUGUUGGAGAAAAAUCAAUUUUUAUUUUUUUUUUAAAAAAAAAACUUUUUAGAGUCGAUCUCAUACAAUAUAUAAGAAUUCAUAAUUUAGAAAUUAUACCUUGAAAAUAUGAGAAAAUGAACAAUCUUUGCUUUUUCUACUGAAGUGAAACUAGGCUCCCAUAUCACGAUUUGUCACCACCACACCUGUUAGAUCAUAAUCUGUCACCACCACGCUUGUUAGAUCACGAACUAUCACCAAUGAUUUUCUAGAUUAUGACUCAGGUUUGAUCUGCACUUGACGUGUGGGUGCUUUUAUCACUACCAAUAGCAACUAGUAUGAGAAAAUUUUUCUCUCAAGAUUAAAGAGAAAUAUUCUUUUUCUCUUAUCUGUAUAAUGUGGCCUUAUAUCUUUUCAAGAGAAAAUAAGCCCUUUUAUAUCUUAUCUAGUGGAAAUCCUAAGCUCUAUAUUUUUUAUUUUUUAAUUCUAUUAACACAAGGCCCCUUACACAUAAGCAUAUUACAUGGAGCCUCCUACUAAAUAAUAUAUUUAGGCUUUUAACCCAAAUAGCUAAUUAUCUUACUUAUUAAUCCAGUAGCGGCGCAGUCAAUUAAAUGAGCUAACCCAAAGAUCAUUUGAGAACAUACAAUAGUGGCUACAAUAAUUAGGCAUGUAAUCAAACUAGCCCAAUUAUUUAAUUCUAAAUCUACUCCACUAAAAGAUUGGAACUGACUUCCACAAUUGUAUGCUUGAAUAAUAAUUCAUCCCAAACAACAUUGAUUUCUUUACUGCAUAAUCCUUUGUACCACAUCAUUAAUUAAAUUGAUAUCUCAACUGUCCAAUCAAUUUAACUACAUCUUGUUCCUUGAUUCUUACUGGUUUUCUCUAAUGAUCAUUUUCAACAUACUAAAUAUGUCGACACACUCUGACCAAAGAAUUCUAUGAUCAAGUGCCGAAAACCUAUCAAGAGAUGUGUUGUACAAAUUCUAUAUUGUCAAUCUAUAACUCCAAUACUCAUAAUUGGUCUCAUCAAGAUACCGGAUAAUCUUGACUACAAGUAUGUGUCGUGCCCAUUGGUAAUUCAAAUGGAAUAACAAUUAUAAUCAUGAAAUCAUAAUUAACUCAAGAUUAAGAUUGCAGUAAAAUCCACGUCUAUGAGAUUUAAUAAGUCUGACAGUAAUUACAAAGUUAAUUAAAUCUCAUAUGUUAUCUUGUUCAAUGUAGUCUUACUAUAUCAAUAAAUUCAUACAUGAAUAAGACAAAUCAUUCAAUGAAUUCAUUACAGUCUAUACCUAAAUAAAGUGCCCAACUUUAUUUAUCAACUGCGAAUUAAAUUUAUUUAAUCAUAAGAUAACUUGUAUUUAUGUCUUCUAUAAUCCACAUGGUGAUUCUUGUACAAAUUUAUUGAACUCGCAAGUGCACGAAUAUAUUGUAGAAUAGAUUAAUGGUGACAAGUGUCGAUCCCACGAGAAAGUGGAUUUUAAUUAUGUGUAAAAUUAAUUUUCUAUGAGGGUGGUUGGAUUUGUGGUGAAAAUGAUUUGGAAUAUUCUAAACAUUAAAUUAGAAUGGCAGGAAUAAAUUAAAGGAAAAUCUAUUGAAAUAAAGCACUUGGGUAUCUGGAUCUGCAUUAACAUGCACCAUGUGCUAAAUAUUCCUUAGUAAUGCCAAUUAAAUCAUGAGGGGGGUUUCUACUCCUCAUGAACCACACUCUAAUCAAUAUGGUGUUAAGGGCUUAUUGUGGCAAACAAUAAUAACCUUGUACUAGGGAGUCGGUUAAAUCAGUGCAGUAUCCAGACAAGAUUAUUACUAUUUGUCGACGAAAAGUCAAAAUAUCAACAAUAAUUAGAGGAGAAGAGAAAGUAAAUUUACUAAAUAAAGCCCAUGACACAUGUUGAGACUUCACCAACCCAAACUUGAAAGAAAAUUAGCUACUUAUAAUUGAACUAAGGGUAAAAUGAGAAUUUAUUAAAAUACAUAGAAAAUACAAGAUGGAGAAGGAAUUACAGAAAAUAGGCUCAAAAAUGAAUUCAAAAAUGCCAAAUUAGGGAGGAGCCCCCCUUUUAAUAGAUACACUGAGUAAAUCAUGGCCAUCAGAUUAAAAACAUUUUGGACGCUCAAGAUUGCGCCACGUCAUCGGUCAACAGUACGUGGUUUGACCACGUGGUUUGGUUGUAAAUAAUCUCGUGUAUAUGCAUGUACCGUACGCACUAUUUUUUAUCCACUAACAUGCUGCCACGUCACCGAUCAACAGUACAUAAGAAUUUUAGUCUAAUAAAAUCGUGACAUCUCAUCAGUCAAUACCACAUCAUCAGUCAAUGCCACGUCAUCAUUUUGUAUAUGUGAAUAGUGUCGUGAACAGUAACAUGGAUAGUAUCGUAUCUGUGAAUAGUACCGUACAUGUGAACAAUUCCAUUUUUCCUUUUAAACUCCUCCUAAGAUUUUCGACUGUCCUGAUCUCAAAAGUGAUGUCUGUUUUGCUGUAUGAUCUCUCGUUCAUUGUGAAAUGACCAUGAUGCCCCUAAAAUACAUAAAAUAUUUAAUUAUAAUAUAAUACACAUAAUUAAAUCAUAAGGAACUUAAAUACAUAAAAGUAUGAAUGUUAGUGAAACUUGAAGUGUAAAAUGACGAUUUUCUCCUUCAUAAAUAUACACUUUCUAACACUCAAAAGUGAUCACAUAAAUACAUAUAAUAUGAUUAAAUGGACUUUAAUCAAAAUAUUAAUGCAAUUAAGAUAUUUGAAUAAAAUACCUUAUUUAUUUUAUUAAUCAGAAAAAUUGUUUAUUACAAUUAAAUAAACACUUAUGCUUUUAAAGAGCAUAUUUUCCCAACAGGCGUAUCUCAUAAAGCCAACUUCGGUGGUUGGGGUAUCCUGCCGUGCAACACUGUAUCUCUUAUAGUCAACUUUUACGACUUGGACAAUUUGUAUUUUACCGAUUGUCCAUUGAAUUAAUUUGUUUUUGCUGAAAAUGAAUAUUAAAAAAAGAUUAAAAUAAAUAAAAUUAUAAAUAAUUAAAAUCACAGAUUGUCCCAGACCACCAAUAAAACCUCUAAAACUAAAAUUAUAAGCUCCUCCGUAAGAUCCACCAUUAUAUUUCUUAUUACCACUAGCAUUCUUUCAAGGAUUAAAAUGGUUUUGAGUUACAUUAGCUAACAAGUUAUGUGUGACAUCACUAGCAAUUUUACCUCUUGUCUGUUCAACUCUAUUCUCCUGAUUUAGCAGUAAAGAGUAAAAUUCAUCAAGGCUGAUCUUAUCACCUCCAGCUAACACACUGAUAACUAAAGACUCAUAAUCAGAUGAAUCUAGUCUAGUCAAAAUAUAUUGAACAAAAUCACUUAACUCAACAGAUUUUCUAGCUAAAGCCAGACUGUCAGACAAUCUCUUCAUUUUAACAAAGUAAUCAAUCAUAGACAUUGAUCUUUUUUUGAGUGUUUGAAUAUGCAUCUUAAAGGCAUUAUUCUAGCUUGAGAUUGUAAAGUAAACAUACUUGUGAGUGUAUCCAAAAGCUCUUUAGCAAUGGAGCAAUGAACGAUUGUAGCGAGUAGAUUUUGCUGAAUAGAUGACAACAUCCAACUCAAAACUAAUUGAUCUGUCUUCAUCCAGGCUGUGUAUGCUGGAUUGACCUUUCGAUUUUCAGUAAUAGUUGAGGACCAACUUCAGUGCUAGCUAGUGUGAGAAAUUACUCCGAACAAGUUUGAUCACCAUUAAUGAAAUUAUCCAGAUCGUUUCCUUUGAUGGAUGUUAAAACCUGAGUUUGUCAGACAAUGAAAUUAUUAUGAUCUAGCUUAACAGGAUUGAUAAAACUAUAGGAUCCAGAAAAUUGAUUAGAACUGACCAUUGUAGGCUCUGAGAUCAUGAUAGAAUUUGUAAUAUAUAUGUCUGGAAAGCAAGAAAAUUAAGGAGAAAAAGAUAGAAAGAAAAGAAGAAGAAUUUAGAAUAUGUUAAUUGUUCAUUACAUUACAAAUGUGAUUAUAGCCUUUGUAUUUAUAUUAAGUGAAAUGCUUAACUAUAAUUUGUUAUAACUGGAAUAGGUGCUAAACAGUUCGUUAGCUAGAAGGCUGAGAUGGCUAACUAAUUAUUCCACGUUAGCAAGAGCACUCAUGUAUGGUCCUCAUCCGUACUGUAAUUAUCAUACUCUGUAACAGUUCUUCUACAUCUUCUUGCUCUUCAGGACCAAGUGUACUUCGUGGGUCUAUAAUUGCUGCUUUGUCUAUCUAUUUGCAAUUCAAAGAAUUAAUUUAUUGGUCAUUUUUUUAGGAAAAAAGAUAACGAAACAUAGUUGUUUGGUAAAAUAGUCAUGUGAACUCUUUCUUCAAAACAUAUAUAAAAACAAACCUUGGAGAUCAGUAUUGUCUAUGUGAUAAUUUCUAAAAAUAAGAGGUCUACCUGACAAUUUUUUCAAACCAUGGGAUGUUGGUAUAUACUCUUUAAGUAUGUACCUUAGUAAUUUGAUUCUAGGUGACAAGGGUAAUUCAUUUUCAUCAUCAUUACAGGAGAAUUGAUCUGCAAAAGAAGGAAAAUUUAGAUGCCUUUUCUUCAGGGCAGCUUUAAAAAGACAGAUUAUAGCAAAACCGUGAAUAAGAGGUAAUUGUUUACUAUGGUAAAAGGGAAUACCCAACAGCAACAAGGCCAAACUGCUCCCAUAACCAAUAUUGUGAACCUCAAAGUCCUCCGUCAUGUUUCCAGAUUAUUUGCAGGGAAUGCUGCAACUACAUUACAACACCAGGCAAGCUGCAGCUAUACUUCUUUUUGAGCCUUUACUUAUUUCUCAUUUGGAUUUUUUGUUCUCCCUUCAUCACCAUGUGCUCUUAAUUGAUCGACAAGACAUGGUCCUAAAAGAGGCCCCAUUCCAAAGUCACCCACUGCUAACAAGAUCAUUCCUAUUACGUUGUGUAGUUCAAAUUUAGUUUCUAAGAAUUUACUGGACGCUGUAUAAUACAAUAGCCUUAAUGCCUCCAACAACAAUAGUCGGAACUAAUUGUAUGGCAUAACAUUAUGAUCCUAAAUAUGCUUCUUAAUCAUUACUAUAGUUAGGAGCGGAACAAAAUUGAGAUUUAGGGGGCCAAGUGUAAUUAAGGUAAUUAUUUCAGGAUUAGAGAGUAUUAGUUAUUUUCUGGGGUUAGGAGAUGGGGUUCACGUUUAUGAAGCCACCAUAUAAAGAAAAACAACUAGUUUGAAAGUUGAAAUUACAAAUUUAUAUAGUGUGAGAUUAUUUCAACCUACUAAAAUAUAUGUUAUUUUAAAGACUAAUGAGCUUGCGGCUUUGAAAAGGUUGGAAUGUUAUUUGGUUGGAGAGGGACUCGGUUUCAACUUUAACUUGUCUUACGAGUACCAAAUUCAAGCCGUCGUAGCAUCUGCAUAUCAUAUAGUUGAAUUGUUUGAGAGCCUAAAAGUCAAAUAUUGUGGAUCAUAUCAAAUGCCAAAUGUUGGAUAAUCUUUUCCAAAUGUUGGAUAACAAGAAAAGGGAUGCACACAAGACCGCUGACUGAAAAUAGAAAUAAUUGGACAAAUAAAGCCCAAACCACAACUCAUCAUAAUCUUUUUGUUACUAAUGGAAGCUAAAAGCACCUGAGUUAUCAACUAUUCACAUUUUCUAUUAGAUACUGAUGCUUGAUACAUUCAUCAUGAUAUCCAGAAACAAUAAAAUUAAGCUAGUACAAAGAUAUCUAAAUGAAGAUGAUAAUAUCAUAGGCAAGAUAUGGUCCAAUUGAUUAGGAAAAUCAAGCUAAGGUAAUUUUUUUUAAUACUAAAUGCUUAAUUAAAAAGGACAUCAUUAUAUGUUUUAUACAUGCACAAAUUGUCAUUUAUUUGAGGCAUGUCUAAUAUUUAGUAGAGUGACAAAUAUACUUGAAAAUGUAUAAAAAUUAUCAAAUAAUAUGUGAGAAAUAUAGUUAUUUUUGUUGUAAUAUUAAUGCAAUAAACUUUUAUCGUAUCAUAUCGGCAUGUUUAAAGAGGAAAAAAAAAACUCAGAGACUCAAAAAUUCCAAACUUUAAUGUGUAGCUGGCAUUUAUUUGUAGGCUCAAUUGAAGUACAGAAGUCACAAUUCCAAACAACAAACAAGCUAUCAUCACUAAUCCACCAAAUUGGAAAACAUCCUCAAUUAAAUUAACCACCGCGCCUUUCCAGCUUGAGUUUUUCCAAUGCUGAUAGUCCUUCUAUUGAGGAUUGGUUAUUGUAAAUAUCUUUUAAGGUAAUUUCAGGAUAGAGCGGAGGAUUUUCUUCGGAUAGCAACUCUUUAAUUGGACCAUAUUGUCUCGAGCAACUGUUGUUCAUAAAAAAACUUUCGAUUGAAAUUCUUGAGCCUUCCUUUUUUGAUAACACUCUGUGAUAGGCACUUUUGAACUUGUCAUUGGUGAUUAGCUGCAUAAACACACAAUAAAAAAAUCCACUAUAAUUAAGUUACAUGAUGGAUUAAUAAUAGUCAAAGUGAUGCAUAACAUGUACUUGCCUGCAUCAUGUAACCGAAGUUUACAACUAGAGCUCCGGGAACUGGGGUAAUUACGAUCUGCAGUUUUCUAAUUUAACUCAUGCACGCUCGAGGCUUUUGUUUACCCUAGUUUUCAGUAUGAAAAGAGGCGCGCAUCACAUAAUACGGCGGCAAAGAAUUAUCAUUAGAAAAAUUGGAGAGAAAAAGAAGAAGAAGAUCAUAAUUCAAGGGAACAGCUGCAACAUCAUUGAAGAAUCCAGCAGAGUUAUUUGGAUUCACUUUUUGUCGUUCUCGACUUAUACCUUUCUUCUUUCUCUAACUAAUCUAAUGUAUCUCAUGAACAAUAUGUUGCUGAUUGUUUAUCUCUUUCAGAAUAUGAACUAAACUCGCUUGUAUUUGAGUGACAAACAAUCUAAUGGGUUCUUGACUGUUCUUAUGAGUUGCUAUGUCAUUGCUGUAGCAUUUUACUCUAGUAGCUAUUAUUAUAACUUUUAUUUUGGUUGACCACCCAUUUAAUGGUUCAAGUUAAGAUAGGACCAUAAAAGGGCAUGUCUUACUGGAUAUUAUUAUAGUAAUACUUGAUCUUAAUUUAAGUUUCCUAGAUUACGUUUAUCUUGAAUCCCAUAAGGGCCAUACUUAAAGUUAAGAUUUGUGAUAAACUAGACAUAAGUAUUCACCUUGUAGGGUGGAGAGAAUGGAUGUUCAUAAUGUCAUGCCAUAGGUAAAAUAGCAACUGGCCAUUGUUAAGAUGUUUACGGGUAUGAGACUUCCAAUAUGCGACAACUGAGGAUGCAAAUUAAAUUCUGUCCAGUGCUAUAGAAAUUAUUGUAGCAACUGGUGUUAACUUGAUGAAAAGCAGUUAACCCAUAAAAAGAGUUUGAUCAUUCAACUACCUUAUUCUCAUUUGAUUCUUCGACGCAUUUUAUUUAAUUUGUUUCAUUACUACAUUGUUUAACUUUAUUCUCUCACAAUUAUCAAUUUCAAUAGUAACCAACUUUACAUUUGUUAAUUUAGGAAUCAAGUUAGAUUACACUAUCGUGAUUGCUGUAGCAUUUCUAGUAAUAUCAAUCCUUGUGAAGACGAUCUUAAAUAUUCAUCACUUUAUUACUUGUUCUGUACACUUGCACAUUGACAUAAAUAAAAUUUGAUAAAAAAUACCAACAAUGAGAUAGGGGUAAACUUCAGGAUGUGCUGCGCUUUUUAAUUGUUGUGUAGAUUCUUUUGAUUCCUAUCUCUAGUGGAGAACCAGAUGUGAUUUUGUGAGACCUUUCUCCUGAUGGUAGUUUUUCUUUGAGGACUGCUUCAAAUAUUGUGCAUUGGACAAUGCCAAGUGAUGAGGCUUUUUUUGUUAUUUGACAGCGACAUCUUUUCCUGGAUAUCUUUUUUUCUCUAGAGGUUGUGACACAAAUUCUUGACCACAGAUGAUGCCUCGUGUUCGGGGGAUUUCUGCAUAGUUUCUUAGUAUCUUUGUGGUCGGGCUUAUGAGACUUCUAGGUAUUUUCUUUCUUGGUUGCCCUCGAGUUAGGCCAGUUUGGGUCCAUUUUCUAUGUACUCUUGGUUUGCGCUAUGUUGCUUUUCUAUUCCCCCGUACUUUAUUUCUUAAUUGGUAGUGAUGUGCCCUUUCUUGGAGCCAUAUUCGAGUUCUUCUUCCUUGUUUCAUUUUGUGGCGAGUUUAGAAGGCCUGUAAUGCAUUGAAGUUUGACUCAAUGGCCUUUUUUGUUGAUGCUGUUAUUUAUUGGGCAAUGUUGGAUCUUAGGCUUGCUGGUUCUGCCUUUGGUCUUAAACCAUCCCAACUGUGAGGAGUUCUAGGUUCUCGAUUUGUAAAGUUCUUGAGAGUUGUUGUUUCAUCCAAGAGGCUGAUUCUUUUAGUUUUUUGGCAGUGGUCACCACCUGGGGCGGUGAAGCUGACUAUUGAUGGUUGCUUUAGGAGUAAUCCUAGGAUGGCUGCUUCAGAUAGUAUUUUACGUGAUGAUUAGGGUGUGGCUUUGGCUGCUUUUGGUUCCUUCCUUGGGCGCUCACUGAUCUUUCAUGCAGAAUUCAUGGCUGUUUUUUAGGGGUUAGAGUUGGUGCUCAGCUCCAUUAUUCUGUGCUUGACGUAGAGUUGGACUCAACCAUGGUGGCUUCUUGGAUUCUUUUCUAAGGCCUUGUUCAUACGGACUAUACCUAUUCUUUGCAUCGGGUGUGUAGUUUGACAUUUUCUUCUACUUCGUGGUUAGUCAUGUGCUUCAGAAGGUUACUUCUACUGCUGAUUUCUUUGGCCUGCACUCUUCAAGGUCAUUUGUGUUUCUUGGGUUCUCAGGAUAUAUUUGCUAGCUUAUCUAAUAAUCUCCGUUUGGAUAUGUGGGUAAUUUCUCGUAUCAGGCAAUAGGAUUGCUUAUUUAUGUAUUCCAUUUUUUAUCUUGUAUUUUUCUCUUUUCCAUUCUUAUGUUCUUGCAAUUGCGGUUUUGAUUUAUAUUCACCUCCUUAUGUAUUUGAUUCAUUCUAUGAUUUAUAUGAAAGAUAGGAGUUCCACCUAACCCCACCUUUUUGUGGUUAAAAAAAAAAGAUCAGGAAUUCAACCUAGAUCAUCAAGGUAAAACAUCAAAUAGGUUGUAAAUUUAACAUAUGAACGUAAAAGCUUAACAAAACAUUUGAAGUUGCUUGACAACAUAGAAAUACAAGCAAAAAGAGAUGCUAAACAACACAAAAUUUUGAUUGGGUGGGAGUAUUGUUCAUGCUAGCAUAAUAAUGAGGUGCCUGAGAAUACCUAAGACUUUCUUGAUAAAUAAUAUCAUCUAAAAGGUUAGGAAUCACAGAUAAUUGUCCACGUAUGAACAAACCUAGCUCAAAAUGUGAAAUGUGUUAAGAUUUUCAAACAUUUAAAUUAAUAGUUAAUAAUUUCAGACAAAGGAUUCUUGGAGACCUUAAAGUUCACUGAUUCUAUCUUAUGGCUCAUUGUCUCUCUCAACAAUUUAAUUUCUAGAUUAUUUGGCUCCUAUCUAUUAAAAGACAACACCGUUACUAAAAUUAUAAAUUAUAACAGUUAAACCUAAACCUACGUCGUUUAGCAAUUUACGAAAGAAAAAAAUAUAACAAAAGCCAAUUGUUGGAGUAGCAACGUGCCAACGAGAAAACCUCAAGCCAUGUAAUAUCAUGUGUCAACAACUAAAGAAGAACAAACCACCACCCUCUAGGUCGUCGCUGCACUAACGCUGGGCCCGAUUUGAAUAGUUAGAAGUUGUAACAUUAAUUAGGGAAUGAGGGCAAAAUUUUGGACUUCGAUUUAAUAAAAUUGAUUUAAAUGAGUCCCAAUAGAAAUAUGAUUAUAAAUAUAUCAAUAAAAUUAUGACAUGUUUAAAAGAAAAAAAUUAUUUUCACACAAAACAAAAAACACAACCCUUGGAUGUGGGAUGUGUCUAAAAAAUAAUAGGGUGGAAAAAUUAUCACCCUCAAAUUAGAUAUAUAAAUAUUUAAUGUUUUACUCUUAUAAUUUUAUAAUUGUUUUUUUAAAUAUUAGUAAGAGAAAGAUAGAAAUUAAUAUAUAGACAAAUCGAGUCCUUUAUUUUAUUAUUCAUAUCCAUAAAAAGUAACCACUAUGCUAGUCCCACGAACUUAGCAUAAGACGGUAAUUUAGAAAAAAGAAAAAAAAAAAGGAACGUUUUUAGACACCAAAACAAAAGCAAAACAAGCACAAAGCGAGACAUACAAACAAAUUUUAUGCUACUGCAUAGGGGUGUUCGUGGAUCGGAUUUUACGGAUUGGAUAUCAAUCCAUAUCCGAUCCAUGAUUUUGCAGAUUAUAAUUUUUCAAUCCAAUCCAAUACACAGAUUGAUAAAAUUCAAUCCAAAUCCAAUCCAUACAUCUGCGGAUCGGAUGCGGAUUUGACUCAAUCCAUAUCCAAUCCAUACGUCUGCGGAUCGGAUGCAGAUUUGACUCAAUCCAUAUGCAAUCCACCAUUUUGCGCAUUAGUUUUCGAAUUAAAAAUUUUUAGUUCUCUCCAACUAAUGAAAUAAAAAAAAUCUAAUAUAAAAAUAAUUUUGCUACUAAUUAAAUUUAAAAUUGAAUAAAAUUUAAAUAAAUUAAUUGUUUAAAUAAAGCUAAAAUAAUAUAUUUAAAGUUUUAAAAUAUAACACAUCGAGACUAAUUAUUCAAAUAAAGCUACAAUAAUACGUUCAAAGUUUCAAAAUAUAACACACAAAGCUUAAUUGUUCAAAUAAAGUUACAAUAAUACGUUAAUAUAACACCAAAAUUAAUUAUUCAAAUAAAGCCACAAUUAAUUGAAAAUGGCGAAGUUUUGGAAACCAAACACAGUUUGAUCCUUCACCAAGGCUGUUGUGCCUGUCGAAAAGUGGUGAUUACGGAGCCAUUCACGAUGGGAAUCAGGAGAAGCCGUACGGGUGGCGAUCUUGAAGGUUGUGAUUGUGAAAUUGUUCAAUUGGAACCAAUGAAUGUGAAGUGGCUCGAUGGACUUGGGAAAGAAGAUGGCUUGCUCUCGCCAGAAUCGCGCAGCCGAUGUCCUUUAAAUCCGUGUCGAGAGUGUAUCCAACCAGUAUUAAGUGUUGCUAGUGUGUAUGACGGUGGGGAAGUUUAGGGUUUUUUGUUUGUAAAUUGGUUGUAACUUUACGUUAUGUUACUUUGCUUUUGCUAGUGCGUGUGACUUUGCUUUUAUUUUGUUUUACAAUUUUUACAAGUUAUAUUUGUAUAUUUGAUUAUUUAAUUAUUUUUCAUUUUAUAUUAUUAUUAGGUAAUGGCUAAGAUAUGUUAUAAUGUUUAGUAACUAUGUAAUGUCAUAUUUAUAAUUUUUUAAUUAUAUAUAUAUAUAUAUAUAUAUAUUUUUUUUUUUUUUGCGGAUUCACAGAUUUCUGCGGAUUUACAGAAGUAAAUCCAUAUCCAAUCCAUCGACUGCGGAUUUUUAAAUUUUCAAUCCAUAUCCAAUCCACCAAUCCACGGAUCAGAUUUAUACGGAUCAGACGGAUUGAGCGGAUCGGAUUGGAUUCUGAACACCCCUACUACUGCAUUCAAGCAGAAGCCACCAAUUGUUCACGACGGCGUUUGAAAACAACCAACAUUUCAUCCUGAUUGGGAAGGUUUUCUUCAAUUAUAGGGACUUGCUUGAAAGUUCAAGCCACGCAUGCAAGCGAGGGAAUUUGUGUGAUACAAAUAUUUUAACUCCUACUACAUCUUCAAUGACUUGCAACCAAUAAACAAUUGAACCAAAUGCUAGGUCCACUAAGCCAAUAUUGUCUCCGUUGAAAAAUUUCUUCUCUCCCAAGCCAUGCUCUUCAACGUUUUGUAGCAUUUCCAAGGCUUCCUUCGCUGUGUUUUGUAGUUCUUGUCCAGUGCUACGAAACAUUUUCCAAAUGGCAACACCCUGCCA